rnacentral:lncRNA from 1 species
ACAUCAUGCAAGGUUUUGCAGUUGGUCAGAAAGCUCUAGAUGACAAAGUUGAGAAGUUCGAGCGGGCUUCAGUGGCAAAUAGUGGUGUCAACCUGGAUGGUGUCUCCAACCAGGGGCUGGGUGGUUCUCGAGACGGUGGUAAAAGGACAAUAGUGGGUAUAGUGAACAACAAUGCUGGAGGUUUUGGUGCUGCGGGUGGUCAACCUGGUCAGAAUCUGAAGGACAGUCUGUUCCCGCCUUUCUUUGGGGUCGAUGAUGACAGAGAAGAAGAUAGAGAAGCCGAUCAGUUCUCGAUGCACAACGAAUCGUCCGGUCAAUACGGUGCCCCACAACAGAAUAAAGAGAUUCAGCUGCUGGCUGAGAAGAUCCGAGCUUUGGAGAGCUAUGCCACUCCUGGGGUGGUUAACAUGUCGAACAUGGGGCUGGUAGAGGGGAUUGUGAUCCCGCAGAAAUUCAAGGCGCCCACAUUUGAUAGGUACAAUGGGAGUUCCUGCCCCGAAACUCAUUUGCAAGCGUUUGUUCGUAAGAUCUCUGCAUACACCAUGGACCAAAAGCUGUGGAUGUACUUCUUCCAGGACAAUCUGUCCGGAGGCUCACUGGAGUGGUACACCAAGCUCAAGUCCUCAGAUAUCAAGAACUGGCAGGAUCUGGGGGACGCAUUCUUUAAACAGUAUCAAUUCAAUGCUGAUAUGGCUCUGAGUCGUACCCAGCUGCAGGGUAUGUCUCAGAAGAAUAGCGAAGGGUUUAAAGAAUACGCUCAGAGAUGGAGGGAAUUGGCUGCUAGAGUGCAACCUCCACUUGUGGACAGAGAGAUGUCUGAUCUCUUCAUGGGGACCCUGCAGGGGGCAUUCGCCGAAAGAAUGGUUGGUUGUCCGGUGACAAACUUUUUGGAUAUAGUUGUGGCUGGUGAAAGGAUAGAGAGCUGGCUGAAGAUUGGAAAGAUACAGGGUAAUGCUUCAUCUUCCGGAUCGAAGAAGCCCUUCAGUAAUGGCCAGAGAAAGAAAGAGGGUGAUACCAGUGCGGUCUACGCUCAGAGAGGACCCAGUAGGGAUCGUUACUUCCAGCACACUGCUGCGGUAACUAUUCCUGCUGAGAAUCAGCAACAGCAGCAACAACAGCAACAGCAGCAACCUCAACAACAAAGACAACCAUUUCAGCAGAGGCCUCAGAGGGCUGGUUAUCAGGUGCGGGGAAGGAUGAAUGAUAGGCAGUUUGACAGGCCGCCUGUGACUUAUUCUUUUCUGUUAAAAAAGUUGAUGGAUUUGGGGCUGGUACAGCUAAGAACUCUGGCACCUUUGAGACCUGAUCAGAGGCCAGCUAAUUAUGAUGAGAAUGCUAAAUGCGAAUUUCACUCAGGUGCGCCCGAACAUAAUAUAGAGAACUGCAAAGCUUUUAAGCACGUGGUUCAAGACCUGGUGGAUUCGAAAGCUAUCAACUUCGCACCAUCUCCCAAUGUGAAUGCUAAUCCCAUGCCCGCGCAUGGUCAAAGGGGGGUGAAUGCUAUCUCUGAGGAGGGCCGAAUCGGGUUGUUGUCUGUUAAUCAAUUGAAGACUCCGUUGGCUGAGGUGAAACGGCAGUUGUUGUUGAAUGGAGUCAAUCCGGGCUGUAGUGAUGAUUGUGCUGAGUGCAUGGUUGAUACUGAGGGAUGUACAUUGUUGAGAAAGACUGUUCAGGGUCUGAUGGACGAAGGGACUAUCCGGGUUGAGAAGGUUGACAUGGGAAGAGAUGAGGUCUCCACCAUAACAAUUUAUUUUGAUCCGGUGGAUUUGUCUACUCUGGCGGAGGCGGCUCCAAUUACCAUCACGGUACCUGGACCAAUUCCAUAUGACAAAGAUGAUGCCGUGCCAUGGCAUUAUGGUGGGGAGGUAUAUUGCAAUGGUGAGAAAGUAGAAGAUCAGACUGCGGAUGAAAACCACCGUUUCAAAGUGGAUAAUCCCGGGUCCCAGCGGUUGUCAUCGCAUGGAAGCUACGUUGCUCCUGAUGCUUGAGGAGGAGAGAGGAGAAAGAAGAGAAAAAAGAAAAGAGCUGAGGCUUUAGCCAGGGCGAAAGGGAAAGCAGUGGUGAGCGAUGGUACUCCAGUGGUGACACCGGCGCCCGUGGGGUCGGAAGAGAAACUUGAUGAUGAUGCAGAGGAAUUCUUAAGGAUCAUCAAGAAGUCUGAGUACAAGCUGGUGGACCAUCUGCAGCAAACUCCCUCCAAAAUAUCAAUUCUAUCUUUGCUGUUAAGCUCUGAGGGGCAUAGAGAGGCUCUGUUGAAAAUUUUGAAGAAAGCCUAUGUUCCUUAAGAGAUUACCAUAAACCAGUUGGAGACAGUAGUGUCUAAUGUGCAUGCCAGCCAUGGGUUGGGCUUUACUGACAUGGACCUGACUGUAGAUGGGAGAAAUCACAACCGUGCGUUACAUAUAGCAAUGGAAUGUAAAGGAGCCGUGCUUUCGCAUGUGCUGGUUGAUACCGGCUCCUCAUUGAAUGUGUUGCCAAAGAAGGCUCUGGCUAAGCUAAAUUGUGACAGGCUGAUUCUGACUCCCACUGAUCUGAUAGUGCGGGCAUUUGAUGGGUCAAAGGGGGGCGUAUUUGGAGAAGUUGAGCUUCCGGUGAAGAUAGGCCCGGAGGUGUUUAAGUCGACUUUCUAUGUCAUGGAUAUCCAGCCGGCAUACAGUUGCUUGUUGGGUAGGCCGUGGAUUCAUGCUGCUGGGACAGUGACCUCGACUUUGCACCAAAAGCUGAAAUAUAUCUGGGAAGGACAGGUUGUCACUGUGUGCGGAGAAGAGGAUAUAUUUGUCAGCCACCUGUCAUCUUUCAAAUACGUUGAAAUGGACGGCGAGAUAUGGGAGACGCCAAGUCAAGCAUUUGAAACCGUCAAGGUGGAGAAUGCUCUGUUUGCAAAAGAAGAGGAAAAACCGUCCAUUGCUUCGUACAAACAGACCGCCGAGGUGGUGAGGAAUGGAGAGGCUCCUGGUUGGGGCAGGAUGAUGGAUAUCUCUGCAAAGAAAGAUCGUUUCGGAGUGGGGUAUCAGCCUGGCAGAGGCUCAUCUGGACAAGGCAGAGGACGUCGUACGUCGGUCACAUUCACUAGUGCCGGAAUGCUGGAUCCGGAUCACAUCUGCAUGAUGAGUGAGGAAGCUGAUAGCGAGUGGGGUAUCAGCCUGGCAGAGGCUCAUCUGGACAAGGCAGAGGACGUCGUACGUCGGUCACAUUCACUAGUGCCGGAAUGCUGGAUCCGGAUCACAUCUGCAUGAUGAGUGAGGAAGCUGAUAGCGGCUGCGAAAUUGACCAAUGGAUAAAGCCGUGCGCACCAGGGAUGGGAAUCCAGAACUGGAAGGCCGAAAAGAUCAUCCGGGUCACUCUGCUGGAAGAGUAAUAUUUUUCCUGUUUUGAUUUUAUAUGUAUGAAAGCCAUACGUGUUGCCCGACACGUAAUGGUUCAUUGUAAGGGCCACCUCAUGUUUAAAUUUGCAAAUUUGCAUCAUCAAUAAAGGAUGUUUUUCAGUUAAAAAGCGGUGUUCCCUGUUUUUCAUUUAUUUUUGCAGUUUAAAAAUACAACAAAAUAAAAAUGGCAAUGUUUUCAUUUUUCUUUUUCAAUUUGUCUCGUUCCGAUUCUAAAGCAAUGCAUGAAUCCACAUUCAUGCAGAUGCGAUCAAUCUCCGGAUCUCAUUGAUAACAAUCCUGUUACACCCUCGUAUGACUUCGACAAUCCGAUCUAUCAAGCCGAAGAAGAAGGCGAAGAAGAUUGUGAACUGCCAGGGGAAUUAGCCAGGUUGUUGAAACAAGAGGAGAAGGUGAUUCAGCCGCAUGGAGAGCAGAUUGAGGUUGUGAAUUUGGGUACCGACGAGGUCAAAAAAGAGGUGAAAAUCGGGGCUGCUUUGGAGGAAAGUGUCAAGAGCAGAAUGGUGGCAUUGUUGAAAGAGUAUGUCGACAUCUUUGCCUGGUCUUAUCAAGAUAUGCCAGGGUUGGAUACCGAUAUUGUUGUGCACAAGCUACCGUUGAGAGCAGAUUGUCCUCCAGUGAAGCAGAANNNNNNNNNNNNNNNNNNNNNNNNNNNNNNNNNNNNNNNNNNNNNNNNNNNNNNNNNNNNNNNNNNNNNNNNNNNNNNNNNNNNNNNNNNNNNNNNNNNNNNNNNNNNNNNNNNNNNNNNNNNNNNNNNNNNNNNNNNNNNNNNNNNNNNNNNNNNNNNNNNNNNNNNNNNNNNNNNNNNNNNNNNNNNNNNNNNNNNNNNNNNNNNNNNNNNNNNNNNNNNNNNNNNNNNNNNNNNNNNNNNNNNNNNNNNNNNNNNNNNNNNNNNNNNNNNNNNGAUUAUCAACCGAUGAAGUUUGAAUUCCCUGAUGAGGACAUCAUGUUUCUCAAAUCGAAGGAUUGUGAGGAACCAAUCCCGGAGGAGGGGCCUGACCCUGAAUCCGAAUGGAUUCUGAUGUUUGAUGGGGCCGUUAACGUGAAUGGGAGCGAUGUUGGUUUUUGGUUACGCCGAAAGGAUCCCACAUUCCUUUUGCUGCCCGGCUAACAUUUGAGUGCACCAACAACGUGGCUGAAUAUGAAGCUUGUAUCCUGGGGAUUGAAGAGGCGAUUGAUUUGAGGAUCAAGAACCUUGUCAUAUAUGGAGAUUUAGCUCUGGUUGUAAAUCAAGUUAACGGAAAAUGGUAUACGCAUCAGUCUCACUUAGUUCCAUACCGGGAUUACACGAGGAGAUUGUUGACGUUUUUCACCAAGGUGAGGAUGCAUCAUGUGCCCAGAGAAGAGAAUCCUUUGGCAGAUGCUUUGGCUACUCUGGCCGCCUUGAUUAAAGUGCAGUGGUGGAAUCAGUUCCCCAGUGUUGAAGUAGGUCGUCUGGAUAGACCGACUUAUGUGUUUGCUGUUGAUACAACGCCUGAUGAUGAGAAGUCGUGGUAUUACGAUAUCAAGCGCUAUCUGGAGACUCAAGAAUAUCCUGAGGGAGCAUCUAAGAAGGACCGAAAGACUCUGCGGAGGUUGGCCAUGGUGUUCUAUCUGAAUAAGGAUGGGGUUUUGUAUAAGAGGAAUUUUGAUUGGGUCUUGCUCAGAUGUGUCGAUCUAUCUGAAUAAGGAUGGGGUUUUGUAUAAGAGGAAUUUUGAUUGGGUCUUGCUCAGAUGUGUCGAUGAUAAAGAAGCAAGCCAAUUGAUGAAAGAGGUUCAUGAAGGAUCGUUCGGUACCCAUGCCAGUGGGAAUGCGAUGGUAAAGAAGUUGCUGAGGGCAGGUUAUUAUUGGAUGACCAUGGAGGCCCAAUGUUUCAAUUUUGUGCGGAAGUGUCAUAAAUGCCAGAUUUAUGCUGACAAGGUGCACGUGCCUCCAAAUCCGUUGAGCUUAAUAUCGUCUCCAUGGCCGUUUGCUAUGUGGGGCAUUGAUAUGAUUGGAAAGAUAGAGCCUACGGCUUCGAAUGGGCAUCAGUUCAUAUUAGUGGCUAUUGAUUACUUCACCAAGUGGGUAGAAGCAGCCUCUUAUACGAACGUGACGAAGCAAGUCGUUGCCAGGUUUCUCAAGAGAGACAUCAUUUGCCGAUAUGGGGUUCCCGAGAGAAUCAUUACUGAUAAUGGUUCUAAUUUGAAUAACAAAAUGAUGGCAGAACUGUGCCGGGAAUUCAAGAUCGAACAUCACAACUCUUCUCUCUAAUCGUCCGAAGAUGAUGGGGCGGUUGAGGCCCAGCCACAAGAAUAAUAAAGAAGAUGUGCAAAAGAUGGUGGUAACCUACAAAGACUGGCAUGAGAUGUUGCCGUUUGCAUUGCAUGGGUAUCGAACGUCGGUGCGUACAUCUACUGGGGCAACUCCUUUCUCAUUGGUAUAUGGAAUGGAAGCCGUGUUACCUGUUGAGGUUCAGAUUCCCUCUUUGAGAGUCCUGAUGGACGUAAAAUUGCAAGAGGCUGAAUGGGUAAGGACCCGGUAUGAGGAGUUGAGCCUGAUUGAGGAAAAGAGGCUGGCAGCCAUCUGUCAUGGGCAGUUGUACCAGCAGCGAAUGAAGCGUGCUUUUGACAGAAAGGUACGACCUCGAGUAUAUCACGUGGGUGAUAUGGUGCUGAAAAGGAUCCUUCCUCCUCAAAACGAUCGAAGGGGCAAGUGGACACCUAAUUAUGAAGGUCCAUUCGUGGUCAAGAAGGUUUUCUCUGGCGGAGCCUUGUUGCUAACGACCAUGGAUGGUAAGGAUUUUCCAUCCCCUGUGAAUGCGGACGCAGUUAAAAAAUACUUCGUAUAAAGAGACCCGCUGGACGAAAAGAAUAAAAUAGUCCAGGCAAAAAUGGGCAUCCCGGCGAACCAAAAACAGAAAGAAAAGGUUUCGGGCAUAAAGUUUAGGGGAUAAAAAAAGAAAAAUUGUAGCACGCCAGCAAGUCGAAAACCUGAAAAGGGCGACUUGGGCAAACAAAAAGGGUAUCCGUGUGGACUGAAAACCCGAGGGCGGUCCAGGCAAUAAGAGGGGAAUUGAAACGAACAACGCGUCUGCAUGAUCGUUGUGUGCCUUUGGUUAAAGCAUCAUGGAUAAUACCUCGGUGGGGACCAAUCAGAACCACGUCUUGUUCAGAAGGCAGAAAGCCAGGAGAGUCGCUUGAGGGACGAAUAUGGGGUGUCCGAGUUUGGAACUCUGAUGAACGAUGUCACGGGUUUUCACAUUGCGCAUUAGGAUAGAUUAUUUUCCCUUUUAAGAGAGCGCAAUUACCUCUUUUCAGGAAUUGCUUCCUUUGUAGUUGCUCAAUUUGAGCCACAUCAUUUUCCAUAAUCAAUAAAAUGACAUAUUCAAGUCAGACUAAUUUUGUUUUUGUUUUUCAUUACCGCGCUUUGAUGCAAAAACAUCCGAUUAUUUUGUGAUAAAGAUCUUUGCAUUUUAAGACAAUAACAGGUCCUUCCAAUGCCAUGCUUAUAAGAUUGAAAAUUUGAAAAUCUUAUUAUUCGGAAGGUUUGAGUGACUCCAAGUGUUUGAAUCUGAAACGCCUGGGGCACGGUUUUAUCUAACGAUCUCUUUUUUGUAGGAACUGUUUAGAUAUUUCACUACGCCAAAAAAGACCUAUGAGAGCGGCUUUUUUUGGCCCUUUAAAAGCGCUUAAAAGCGGGCUGCGUAGGUGGCGCUGCUAUAGGUUUUAGCAGCACUUUGUGUUUACUAAAAAGCGCUGCUAAAGGUUGUCAAUAAAGAGAGCGCUUUUAGCUAAAAAGCGCGUGCUAAAGGUGGUAUAUAGCAGCGCUUUUUAUGUAAAAAAGCGCUCUCUAUUGACAACGCUAAGCAGCGCUUUUUUUACUAAAAAGCGCUCUCUAUGACAACCUUUAGCAGCGCUUUUUAGUAAAAGCGUCUCUAUUGACAACCUUAAGCAGCGCUUUUUUUACUAAAAAAGGCGCUGUCUUUUCCUCUAGUAAAAUAACAAAACCGCUCCUCAGUUUUAAGCCUACCAUUUCAACCCUGUAAUAAUUUUUUUUGGAAUAAUACAUAAACCUGUAAAUCAAGCCUCUCUAAUUCAAGCAUUUGGAGUCAUAAUUCAAGCAUUUGUAAUUUUUAAACAAACACAAGCAAACCAACACAAGAAUGAAACACAUUUGGAGUCAAUAAUUCAGCAAACCAACAACCAAGGAUAAAUAGGCACUGGAACACAAUUUGGAGUCCAUAAUUCAAGCUUUUGUAAUUUUUAAAGCAAACCAACACAAGAAUGAACACAUUUAAUCUAUGCCAUGAAUUAAAAGAUAUCACUAAAAUUAAAAGAACUAUAACACAAGUCAAAACUAAUAUGUUUAUAACGAUACGGCCUAUUUGGAGUCAUAACUAAUCUGUUAAAAAUAUAAAGAACUAUACACUUGCAACACAGAAACCACUUCUUACCAUCAAAAGUAUUCAUGGUUAUUUUGAAAACCAUUAUAUAACUAAUUAAUCUUUCUCAAUAAAAUAUUGACACAGUAUUCCCUCCUUGAUUUGUUCGCAACUGCAGUUCGUGUCAAUGAGCACACUUGUAUUCCUCAAAGUAUUACAUAAACAAACAUAAUAUGCAUGAUUUUAGUUAAAAGUAAUAAAUAAUAUGAAUAUUUCGAGUAAAUAUUAGAAACAAUUCUAAGUUAUAAAUCCAUACCGUGAUUGAAUCUCUACUUUGAUUCAUAUUAAUGAUUUCCGCUCAUAAACCUCAUUACAAAGUAUCCGCAAUCCGAUAUCGUUGCGCGCUGUAGAGGGACAGCUACAUAGAAACAUAAAUAAGAAAUGUAUAGUUAUCUUUCUUAAUCAGUAUCCGCAAUCACUAUUAUAAGCAAAAUUGUGGAAAAAUUAAAGUACCCUGCACUUUUAUCCACGUAAUGUUUGCUGGAUUUAGUACGUGGUACUCCGAGCUUGUCCUUUGGAUCGGAACACUUUUAUGAUCUAACAAAAUAAAACCAAUAUAUUAGAAUUAAAAAAAGUAUGCGAGAUGCUAACGCGGUAUCAUGGUAAUUGAUAUAUUGAUCUUGGGCGGCAUAACGGCAUCGAAUUACCGAAUGCGCAAGAAUGUAAUUACAAUCAAUUAAUUCACCAAUGAAAAAUGGUUGGCCGAAAUAUCCUAAGCCUUCAUAACGCUUACAAUCCCAUAGCCACACCCACACAAAAUGACGACUUUUGGACUAAAGUGGUUUACUCAUGAAAAGAAUUUGAAGAGCUACAACUUGGAGUUUAAAACUGAAAUUUUCAUCACCUAAUAAGCUUUUUUUUUUUGAAAACAAAAGCACACAUGAAAUGAGAAUCCUAACAAUGUCAUUACGUUUAAUGGAAAUCUCUUUCUAGUUACCCUAUCAAGAGGAAACGACCACCGCAUAUUAUAGCAGAAAUUUAUACAAAUGCAACCAGGUCCAAAACCGACCUUAACAUGGUAACGUAAUUAACAUAGGCAUAUAACGCGUAAUAUACAUUAUGCAUGUCUACAUAAAUUCCAAAACCAAAAAUGAAAAGAAAGGGUACAUAUUUUCGAAACAAUCCUUUAAUACAGAAGGGAACUAUUUGCAGAUAAACAAAUGGCGCUAAAAAUGCUAAAUACUGGAAAGGAACCUAAAUCACGCAAUCGACCACAAUGAAUCAACUAAUACAAAAUCCAAAAAAUGAUGAAAAUUAAAACAGGAGGUUCACAGAAAUAAAACACAGCCACAAGAUUCAUUCCAGGAGAAACCAACAUCGUUACUGGAACUGCAAAACAUGUUCAAACUAGCCCGUUGAUUUUAAUGAUAUUACCUUGUCUCCAAAGCCUGCAAAGCUUUUUUACCAAUCCGUCCGUGAAGAACCGCAAAUCUCUUUGGGACGCGAUCCGGUAAGGACGGAAGAUACGACGGGAAUGAAAAUGAGGCGACUGGGUUCGGCGAAAGAAGGGUUGAGGAGUGUACGGUGAGGCGACGGUGGUCGUUGGCGGCGAUGAGUGGGUUUCGUUGAGUUUCGUGUGGUGGGAUUCGUAAAUCCGGAGGGUUUCAGGUUGGUGAGUGAAGAUGGUGGUUUGAGGGUUUUGUUUUUAGGGUGUUUCGGACUUUUGACGGCGGCCGACGGAAGAAGAAAGUUUAACGGAUGGUGGGCGAGCCUCGGCGGCGCUUGAGAGAGAUGAUGAAGGGUUUGGCGAUGAAAGAAGAAGAUAGGGUUUUUAGGGUUCGUGAGGGAUUUUUGAGAGAGGCGAAUGAAGAGGAAAAGUUGUGAGGAUUUCGUCAAGAGUGAGAGAGAGGUAAUUGUGAGCUGCAAUUCUGAGUGAGGGAAUGCCGAGCGUGAGAGAUUAAGGAGGGAUUUUUAUUUUUUUCUUUUUGAGUCGUUUAUGUGAGGAGGGACAUGCGGGGGGGAGGUGAGUGGAAAUUUUCAUAGAUGUGAGACUGAGACGCUAUAAGAAGCGUUUUACCUAAAAGCGCUUUCAUCAGUCCUGAAACCUCAUUGAGACUAUAAGAGCGCUUUUAACCUGCCAAAGCGCUUUCAUAAGUGUGACAACCCAUGAACCUAUAAGAGAGCGCUUUUACCUUAAAAGCGCUUUCAUAAGUGUGUGAGACUGAGACCUAUAAGAGCGCUUUUUACCUUAAAAAGCGCUUUUCAUAAAGUGUUGAAACUCAUAGAUGUGAGACUGAGACCUAUAAGAGCGCUUUACCUUAAAAGCGCUUUCAUAAGUGGAAGACUAUAAGAGCGCUUUUAACCUUAAAAGGCUUUGCUUUACAUAGGCGAAUUUUUUUUCAAGCCCUAUUACAGGCGCUUUUUUUAAAAAGCGCUUUCUUUUUGUGCUGCACAAGCACUUUUGGCGUAGUGUUUUCACUCACUUGCAGGUUGUGAUGUGGAAGCUGUUGACAAAACAAAUCCCCACGGAGUCCGAUCAGGGACGAAUGGAUAGAGGAACGGUGAAAGGACGACGAAGGACAUACGACGAUCCUUGGAAUUAAUCAAGAAGACUCUUCAAAGUCUGAAAAUUGAAAAGUCUGUAUAAGUCCCAGGAGUUCGCUUUCCGUCGAGUACGGAGCGGUUUGGAAUACAAGAUGAUGGAACAGAAAAGGUCCAGAUGAGUCUGGGAGUUCUCAAAAUUGGAAUGCUGACAAUGGAUUUGAAUGAUGAAUGACAUGAUUCGACGAGUCGACGGGUGUUCAGUACCAGAAUUUCCUUAUCUUUCCAAGCAGGGUCAUGAGGACUAAUUCCCCAGCAGAUCCAAGGUCUGUGGCUUCCCUAGCAGGGUCAGGAUGGUUAUCCCCAGCAGGUUUCAGAUUGGUGCUUCCCCAGUCGUCAGGUCUGGAGGUUGUUAUUUCCCAGCGGAGGUAUCUGUGGGUGGUGGUUUCUCAAGCAUAGUCGGGAUGUAUAUCCCCAGUAAGUCAAAGACUGUUGUAUCCCCACAGAGUGCAUUGUUGGAUCUUUCCCCAGCAAUUCCCCAAGCGGAUCGGGUGCGAAGGAGGUUUUUCCCCGGCAAGGGUUGCCUUUUCCCAGCAGCAGCGAUAUUCCCCAGCAGGGUGGAGAUUAGAGUGUUGGCGAGUUCCUCAGCAGAGUGUCUCGAGCUCCCUAGAAGAGUCCCUUGAGGGGGAUACUUUUUAUACAUUCAUCAUGUAGAUAAGCAUAACAUAUUGUAUAAAGAAUCGCGUAGCAUUUCCAUAAUUAUGGAGCAUUACGCAGAAAAAUUAAUCAUGCAUCAUAUUGCAAGCAUGAGCUAGUCUCAGACCGUGGUUACCGUUUGAGAAGUGGUUGCCUGAGGGUGAAGGUGUUGCUCCGAGGAGUUUGGCACCAAAGCAUGAGCUAGUCUCAGACCGUGGUUACCGUUUGAGAAGUGGUUGCCUGAGGGUGAAGGUGUUGCUCCGAGGAGUUUGGCACCGUUUUUAUCAACAGUACUUCCCCAGUAGUGCGAUACUGGAGGGAACUUUUCUGUCGGACAGAGAUGGGAAUGUUACGCGAUCAGCGCGACUCAAGCCGUGGUUACCGUUUGAGAUUUGGUUUUGCCCGAGGGUAAAGGUGUUACUCUGAGGAGUUUAGCAUCGUGAUGUCAGAUCAACAAUGUUCUCCAGUAGUGCGAUACUGGAGGAAACUUUUCCGUCGGGCGGAGAUGGAAAUGAAAUCAAAGGACGCUACGCGAUCAGCGCGACGAUCGGGGUUCAAAUGGAGAAAGGGAAAUGUUGAGGCAUUUUCUGGAGAUCGGGGUUCAAUUGGAGAAAAGGAAGUGUUGAGGCAUUUUCUGGAGAUCGGGGUUCAAAUAGAGAUUGGAGUUGAAGAUCAUAUCCGGGAUGAGGUCCUCAGGAUUAUCUUCUGUUCAUGUGUCACCUUAGACUUCGGCCGAGGCCAACGGAGGUCGUUACGGGUGUCUUCUGAAGAAGAGAUGCACAUGUUACCUUCCUUUUGUGAAGGAGUACCCUCUGAUAUGUUGCCAUCAGAGUGGUGUUUGGUGUUAUUUCCGCCGUGCCAGCGGAAUUAUCACAAGAGAGUGGAGAGCGGGGUUCAAAUGGAGAAAGGGAAAUGUUGAGGCAUUUUCUGGAGAUCGGGGUUCAAAUGGAGAAAGGGAAAUGUUGCGACAUUUUUUGGAGAACGGGGUUCACAAUGGCGAUCACAAGUUAUCGUCAGGCGACUGGGGUUCAAAUGGAGAAUGGGGUUCAUUAUGUUGGCAAACAAGGUGUCGGGGUUCAAAUGCAAUGAUCCGGGAUCAUUUGUGCGAAGAAAAAUUUUGGGGUUCAAGAAAAUGGAAAAGAUUAUCACUUAGAAAAGAAAUUUCAGGGUUCAAGAAAAAGCAAAAAAAUAAUAAUCCCCAGCGGAUGUGUGGUGUUCAGGCCAUGGUUAUCCCUGUGUUACCAUUUAUUUUGGUAUCCGGGUCGAUGUUGCUGUUUCGGUGAUCAGGCCGACUUUCUCCGUUCCAGACGGGUGUUUCUUUCAAGAUUGUUCUUUGCCGAUUCUGACAGGCACUGUUAAUUAUUUUCCUAUCAGAGUGCAAAUUGUUCGUCUGUUCUUGGUAUUCAAUCACUCUUCAUCCUGAUCAUCUGAAAGCCGAGGCUAUUCAUAUCGACAGGUUCACAGUGGAUUGAAUAGGGGCAGCUGUAACACCUCAAAAUUUGCCCUCCUCUCUUGGGACUAGCUUAAGCAUUGCAUAUAAUUUUGUAGGUCAUUAGGCAUUGCAUGUUUGCAUAUCAUGUGGCUACAUUGAGCAAGUCAUCCUCCUAAGUCUUGAUCAGAAGAUAAAGAGGUUGAGAUGCAAGCUAGGGUUUCAUUGAAUUGAUCACUAAUCAUCUGAGGAUGUGUGGUCCAGAUUAGGGUUUUUGAUUCUCAAGGAGAUUGAGCUUCAUCUUGGUUAGAAUGAUACAUCAUCAUCAUCAUGGUUUUGUCAUCACCAAGAGAUUGAUCAGAUACCUUGAAACUAGGGUUUUGACCACUGGUCAACCCUAAUCAUCUGAAUUGGGUCAAUCAGGGCUUGGGAAGGAGAUGAGGUUUUCAAUGGAUAUGGGGAUCAUCAUAUGUUUAUUUUGAGCUUAUGGAAGCUAAGGUUUCAUGGUUGAGCCAUUUCAUCAGGAGUUUGAGGUUCAACUUGAUCAGUGCAUAGCCAAAUUCAUCUAUCAGUCAGAAAAGUCAACUGUGGUCAACUGUGCCUGAAAUGAUGGAUUUGGAGGUGGGAGAGGGUUAGAGACACUUCAUUCAUGUCUAGACAAGUUUCAUUUGGCGUUUCAAACAUCAAGAAUGAAGAAAAUAAAGUUAGAUGAGAACUUUCCAAAAAUAGAAAGUGACUUGUAAUUGAAAACUGCCAAAAAUGGAAAGUUUUUCUCCUCAAAAUUACGUGUCCAAAAAUGCGUCAAAUGAAAUUUUGUUCAACAUGAAAGUUGUAGAUCUUGCUCUCACCUUUCCAAAAAGUCCAAGAACAUGAAUUUCUCAUGUGUGGUUGGCAAGUUAUGAUCAAAACAUUGUCCAAAAAAGUUGAAGUUCAAAGUGGCAUAACUUUUGAAUGGAAAGGCCAAAUUGAGUGAUUUUUCUUUGAGCAAACCACAUUUGAUGUGUACUAUCCAAAUCCAUUAUCACAUUUCAUCAAAAAUCAUCACAUAAAAAGGUCAUUUUUCAAGUGAACCAUUUAAAAAUUGGUGGGAAAAAUAGUGAUUUUCAAAAAUACAUGGCAUUUGCAUACAAAACCUUUUCCAACACAUUCCAAAUGACAAAUGUGACUUGCUCCAACUGGUUUUGUACUGUUACAUUGGCUGAAUUGGAAAAGGACAUUUUGGCCAUUUGACAUAAAUUGCAUUUUUGCUAAAUUCACUUGAAUUUGUUAAUUGUGAUUAACAAAUGGAUUAGCAUGUGGUAUAAAGGCAUAAUCAUAACAGAAAAUGCAUAAUCACAAUUCACUUUUCAGAUCUAACAAACUUUUCAUCCAAAAACCUCUCAAUUUUCUUCAAACCUUUUCACACUUUUUCAUCAUUUUUCAUUGCAAUUCAUCAUCCAUAGUGUGAAUUCUUGCUUGAUCCAUCAUCUACAAGUGUUUGUGGAGAACUGUUUGCAACAAAACCAAGGCCAAGAUUGAAGAAUCGUGACUGUUGCAAUCUCACUCAUCCAUGGCAAAUUGAAAGUUCUUCAGUCUGGAGCAUAGUUGAGCUACAAUACGUACUUCAUUCAACUUCUACAUCAUCAAGCAUCAUCUGUUUUUGCAAUUGAGACCUUGAAAGCGCCAAAUCACGAACUGCAUCCUCCAUAAGGUCAGAGUUCGAUUUCAAUAAUUCUCAAAAUCAUGAUAUGGCUUGUGUAGAUCUAAGCUUGUAGAGCACGUUGCAACUUGUGGUUUUGAUUUCCAUGCUGAAUUGAAUGAGAUAUCUUGAUUUGAAGUUUGGAUGUGAAACCUAAUUUUGCUCGAUUUGCUUAGUAUGAUUAGAGUUAGGUCAAAUCAUUGUUAGUUCCAUGAUCUAGGUUGAACGCUGGUCAUUUUGAUAUAUGGCAUGAUCAUUUUGGUUGAAAUAUGUUCUUGAUGAUUUCUGGAAAUGUUGAAUGUUGAUGAACGAUGAAGAACACGCUCUAGGCUUCAGUUUGAUCCAUUUUUUAUGGCUUUGAUUUCAAAUAGUUGUUUCCCGCGGUCACUAGCCAAUAGCGCGUUGCCAUGCAGUAAAAUGAAACUCUGCGUUUUGCCUUCGCUGCUUCAUAUUUACAAGUUUGCCAUUUUGCCAUUUCUGAAUAUUAUUUCAUUUCAUUUCAUUUUCUUUUUUCCAUUUUAUUUCACUUUGAUCAUUCAUCUUAGAAAAUUCAUAAGUAAUUCAUUUUUAAUCCAAAUUUGAUGAGAUUUUUUUCACCAUUCUCUUUUUGAUGUGUACUUUUUUAUGGUGAUUUUUAAUAUUUUUGUGCACGUGUGAAAAAAUUAAAUGCCUAGGGAUUGUUUGAAUGUAUCAUUUGUGUAUAUGUUUUUCCAUAUUGAUCAUGAAAUCUUGAUGCCUUAUCCAAAAUUGAUGAAAUUCUACAUGCAUAUUCUUGACUCUUUCCUGGUGAUUUUGAUAUAUAGUUUGCUAAUUUUGAGUCCCUUGUCAGAUAGAUAUGAUGUGAUCAAGUUGAGUGUGACAAUGUGUGUCACACUAUGUUAUGUCCACUUCUUGAAUUUUGUUUCCAUGCUUUUGCUUUGCCAUUUGCUCUCAAUUUUUGCAUGUGAUUACUUGUGUAUGUAUAGUUUCACCAUGAUAUUUUGUGGAUUUCAUUGAUCCAUUUUCCAUUUGAUUGAUAAUUUUCUUUGCUGUUUAGUCAUUUUUGGGAUGUUCUUGAGUGAUCAACUUAUAUAGCUUGUGAAAUUCUCAUACCUUAUCACAUGAAGCUGAAACUUUGUGGAUUGAUUCUUAGCAUGUUUAAUUUCAUUUUGGCUUUGGUGUGGUUCAUUUAUCUUAUGCCAUUUCUGUUUUACACUUGCCUAAAGUUGAUACAUGAUUGGUGGCCUUGUUUGGACUUGUAUAAGCAUGACUUGACUUAGUGAAUUUAAUUUCCAUACUUCCUCUGGUCCAAAUAGCAUGAAAUUUGAUAUGCUACUCAUUCAAUGUGUUCUGUUUAGGCUUGAAUUUUUGUGGAAUUUAUUGAGCUGUUUUGAUAUUGAUUUGAUGGUGAUCAUUCUGUUUGCUCCAAUGUGAUUCCAAAGUGCAUAGUUUGACAUGUUUUGUUCAUGAAAUGAAUUUGGUGCAUAGUUUUGAUGUGAGACCAAUUGGACCUUAUUCUGGAGUGAUUUAUAUUGAUUCUUGUUGAGUUUCACUUGCUGUUUUAAAUUUUUCACCUCCUUUUGACCCUAGGCUUGUCCUAGUGGUCUUGUUUCUCACGUUUGGAUGUGCUUUUCAGGUUAAGAAGCAAAAUGCUUUAAGGAGAUUAAUGCAAGUUGAUUGAGUUUGGUUUAUAUGAUUGUUAUGAACUAACUUGGUUUAUUUUGUAGGAUGCUUGGCUCACUUGAGUUGAUUGUGCUUUGCACAUGUGAUUGAUUGUGUUGACUGUUGAUUCUUAUCUUGUUUGUUUUGAAUUUGUGAUUGGUAUACUGACUGUAUUUGAUUGAUUUCAGGUACAUUAGUUGCUAAUAGUUCUUUGAGAACUUGCUGUGCUGCUGCUUGGUUGUAUAAACCAAUUGAGGUAGACUCUCUUGUCUCCAUGUAGUCUGGAAGACCUGGCUUGUUAUUUAGCUAGGCAACUGUCUGAAGUCCUCCUUAAGAGGUGAUGUUUGUGAUUGUUUAACUUUGUCCNNNNNNNNNNNNNNNNNNNNNNNNNNNNNNNNNNNNNNNNNNNNNNNNNNNNNNNNNNNNNNNNNNNNNNNNNNNNNNNNNNNNNNNNNNNNNNNNNNNNNNNNNNNNNNNNNNNNNNNNNNNNNNNNNNNNNNNNNNNNNNNNNNNNNNNNNNNNNNNNNNNNNNNNNNNNNNNNNNNNNNNNNNNNNNNNNNNNNNNNNNNNNNNNNNNNNNNNNNNNNNNNNNNNNNNNNNNNNNNNNNNNNNNNNNNNNNNNNNNNNNNNNNNNNNNNNNNNNNNNNNNNNNNNNNNNNNNNNNNNNNNNNNNNNNNNNNNNNNNNNNNNNNNNNNNNNNNNNNNNNNNNNNNNNNNNNNNNNNNNNNNNNNNNNNNNNNNNNNNNNNNNNNNNNNNNNNNNNNNNNNNNNNNNNNNNNNNNNNNNNNNNNNNNNNNNNNNNNNNNNNNNNNNNNNNNNNNNNNNNNNNNNNNNNNNNNNNNNNNNNNNNNNNNNNNNNNNNNNNNNNNNNNNNNNNNNNNNNNNNNNNNNNNNNNNNNNNNNNNNNNNNNNNNNNNNNNNNNNNNNNNNNNNNNNNNNNNNNNNNNNNNNNNNNNNNNNNNNNNNNNNNNNNNNNNNNNNNNNNNNNNNNNNNNNNNNNNNNNNNNNNNNNNNNNNNNNNNNNNNNNNNNNNNNNNNNNNNNNNNNNNNNNNNNNNNNNNNNNNNNNNNNNNNNNNNNNNNNNNNNNNNNNNNNNNNNNNNNNNNNNNNNNNNNNNNNNNNNNNNNNNNNNNNNNNNNNNNNNNNNNNNNNNNNNNNNNNNNNNNNNNNNNNNNNNNNNNNNNNNNNNNNNNNNNNNNNNNNNNNNNNNNNNNNNNNNNNNNNNNNNNNNNNNNNNNNNNNNNNNNNNNNNNNNNNNNNNNNNNNNNNNNNNNNNNNNNNNNNNNNNNNNNNNNNNNNNNNNNNNNNNNNNNNNNNNNNNNNNNNNNNNNNNNNNNNNNNNNNNNNNNNNNNNNNNNNNNNNNNNNNNNNNNNNNNNNNNNNNNNNNNNNNNNNNNNNNNNNNNNNNNNNNNNNNNNNNNNNNNNNNNNNNNNNNNNNNNNNNNNNNNNNNNNNNNNNNNNNNNNNNNNNNNNNNNNNNNNNNNNNNNNNNNNNNNNNNNNNNNNNNNNNNNNNNNNNNNNNNNNNNNNNNNNNNNNNNNNNNNNNNNNNNNNNNNNNNNNNNNNNNNNNNNNNNNNNNNNNNNNNNNNNNNNNNNNNNNNNNNNNNNNNNNNNNNNNNNNNNNNNNNNNNNNNNNNNNNNNNNNNNNNNNNNNNNNNNNNNNNNNNNNNNNNNNNNNNNNNNNNNNNNNNNNNNNNNNNNNNNNNNNNNNNNNNNNNNNNNNNNNNNNNNNNNNNNNNNNNNNNNNNNNNNNNNNNNNNNNNNNNNNNNNNNNNNNNNNNNNNNNNNNNNNNNNNNNNNNNNNNNNNNNNNNNNNNNNNNNNNNNNNNNNNNNNNNNNNNNNNNNNNNNNNNNNNNNNNNNNNNNNNNNNNNNNNNNNNNNNNNNNNNNNNNNNNNNNNNNNNNNNNNNNNNNNNNNNNNNNNNNNNNNNNNNNNNNNNNNNNNNNNNNNNNNNNNNNNNNNNNNNNNNNNNNNNNNNNNNNNNNNNNNNNNNNNNNNNNNNNNNNNNNNNNNNNNNNNNNNNNNNNNNNNNNNNNNNNNNNNNNNNNNNNNNNNNNNNNNNNNNNNNNNNNNNNNNNNNNNNNNNNNNNNNNNNNNNNNNNNNNNNNNNNNNNNNNNNNNNNNNNNNNNNNNNNNNNNNNNNNNNNNNNNNNNNNNNNNNNNNNNNNNNNNNNNNNNNNNNNNNNNNNNNNNNNNNNNNNNNNNNNNNNNNNNNNNNNNNNNNNNNNNNNNNNNNNNNNNNNNNNNNNNNNNNNNNNNNNNNNNNNNNNNNNNNNNNNNNNNNNNNNNNNNNNNNNNNNNNNNNNNNNNNNNNNNNNNNNNNNNNNNNNNNNNNNNNNNNNNNNNNNNNNNNNNNNNNNNNNNNNNNNNNNNNNNNNNNNNNNNNNNNNNNNNNNNNNNNNNNNNNNNNNNNNNNNNNNNNNNNNNNNNNNNNNNNNNNNNNNNNNNNNNNNNNNNNNNNNNNNNNNNNNNNNNNNNNNNNNNNNNNNNNNNNNNNNNNNNNNNNNNNNNNNNNNNNNNNNNNNNNNNNNNNNNNNNNNNNNNNNNNNNNNNNNNNNNNNNNNNNNNNNNNNNNNNNNNNNNNNNNNNNNNNNNNNNNNNNNNNNNNNNNNNNNNNNNNNNNNNNNNNNNNNNNNNNNNNNNNNNNNNNNNNNNNNNNNNNNNNNNNNNNNNNNNNNNNNNNNNNNNNNNNNNNNNNNNNNNNNNNNNNNNNNNNNNNNNNNNNNNNNNNNNNNNNNNNNNNNNNNNNNNNNNNNNNNNNNNNNNNNNNNNNNNNNNNNNNNNNNNNNNNNNNNNNNNNNNNNNNNNNNNNNNNNNNNNNNNNNNNNNNNNNNNNNNNNNNNNNNNNNNNNNNNNNNNNNNNNNNNNNNNNNNNNNNNNNNNNNNNNNNNNNNNNNNNNNNNNNNNNNNNNNNNNNNNNNNNNNNNNNNNNNNNNNNNNNNNNNNNNNNNNNNNNNNNNNNNNNNNNNNNNNNNNNNNNNNNNNNNNNNNNNNNNNNNNNNNNNNNNNNNNNNNNNNNNNNNNNNNNNNNNNNNNNNNNNNNNNNNNNNNNNNNNNNNNNNNNNNAUCCGUAUAACUCAUGUCGAAAAAUAGAAACAAAUGUUCACCAUAUUUCUCCCUUCUUUUCUAAGUCUGCCAAAAACCUUUUAGAAAAUACAAGAUCUUAUUUCAAAUCAUUCAGACACAUCAUUCUUUUAUUCAAAAGAUUCUUCAUUGUAUUUUAUAAUGUAUAAUCGAAACCCAUACUGAACAUACCUUACAUCCAUAUUAUGAUUUGAUUUAGAUUUUAGAAGCUAAAUAUUAAUGUAAGACAUGUUGGGAAAGUAAAAUUGGUUUCAAUUAUUAUUCAUGUUAUUCUUUCCUGUUUUUUUAUUUCAGUUCUAAACAACUAAUUAUUUGCAUGAAUUGUAGAAUCUGUAGGAACCUCCCAUUGAUUUUGAGUUUAGCCUUCAAAAUUGUUUUUUCCUUAUUUCUAAUGUUGUAUUUAUAUGGUGUCAAUGUGUUAGUUACAUACAAUUUUAACUGACUAACUACCUAAUCCCUUGUUACAAUAGUUUGAAUUAUUCCUAUCAUUUUAUCUUAAUUCAAACAAUUGUUUCUUCAACAAUGUUACUCCCAAUUCAACUCUUAAUUUCUCAAUGAUGUCAAUUUUGAUUGCCUUUGUAAAACUGUCAGCUACUCGAGCUUCAGUUGGACAAUGAAUUACUUCUGAUUUGUCUCCAGUCACUUGAAUGCAUAGAAAUGGGAAUCUAGUCUCAAUAUUCUUACUUAUACCUUGACAGAAACACUUCACAAUAUGCCACAAUUGAGAUUUGAGACGCUAGGUCCAACAACAAGAUUUUAGUAAUGUGAUCACUGAAAAUGAUGUGGAAUGUGUGGUUAACUUCAUGUCUAGGAAGACCUCUUAUUCAUAAUUGAGUAUAUAAUUAGAGAUUGUUUUUAAUGCUUGCAUUCUUGGCCAAAGCUAUCAGUAAAUCUCAUAAGAAGCAGAAUUGCAGCAGCUCAUUAUAAGGCUUUACACUAAUUAAUUAAAACUGCUUGAUAAGCAAAACAAGUGACCUUUUGUCAUUAGAGGUUUGAUUUAUUUUGUUCCCUUGCAGCCCCUAUUUGUGAUUGAACCGUAGAGCAGGCAAAGUAUUCGAGUAGGCGGACGACAAUCUGCAGAUUGUGUUAGUUGAAAAGUGUGAGGCUUAUCCCAACCCCUGGUAGAGGAAGUGUAGGAAGAUUUUGUUUUGAAUUGGGAUGAUACACAGUUGAGAAGAAUUACUAGCUUAUAAUGAGUUUGUUUCCACCCCUCUUAUUUUUCACUUCUAGAUGANCUCUAUAAACUUUGCAAGACUACUCCAUACUGAGGAACAUGAAGAUAAUGAGCCAUACAUUCAAGCGUCAGAAGCUCAGAUGGUUUUUUAUGUGGAUGAUGAGAAUGAACAAGGAUGGAGCAUACCUGUUCAUUUGAAGCCAAGAGAGUUGUAUGACAUGGGUGGAAAUGAUGAAAUUAUGACACCCAUUGAGCCAUACCCAUCACAAAAUUUGGAACAAUUUUUUUCUAAUGAUGAUCCUGGAGCUUCAGUGGCGAAUGAUAACAAUAAUUAAUAUAUAGUUUUUUACUGAUAAGAAGUCUAGCUUGUUUGUAACUCAUGUGAAACUUAUAUUUUUUUGUUUCUUAUCCCUAAUUAAUGUAUGACAUUCUUACUUUUUAUGUUUAUUCAUCGUUAUAGAAAUGAAAUACCAACAGAUGGCAUUGUUACUCUAUGUUUUAUUGCAUAAUUUAUCUUUUAAUUUAUUGUGUUUAUGUUAUGUUUAUUAAAUUUGUAGUCAUAAUUUAUGUUACUCUUUACUCUUGCUGCGUUAUUUCGAUACAUAAUAUAUUCUUGUUGAAAUAAACAACUACUUCUUCAAGGAUAAAUCAUGAUUGCUCCAUAUUUUCAAUACAAAAUAUAUUCUUGCUUUGAAAUUGGAGUACUAUUCAUUCUGCAUACACAGGACUUGCUUGUCCAUCGUGUAACUUUGGAACUACUUCUCUCCGUCUUAAAGCUAGCCGUAAAUGGUGUUUUAUGGGUCAUCGUCGUUUCCUUAACCAGAGACAUAGGUUUAGAUUGAAUAGGAUCCAUUUUAAUGGUGAACAAGAAAUACGGAGUCCACCGAGAACAUUAUCUGGACAUCAAAUUUUUGAACAGGUUAAAGAGGUUAAAGUUGUCUUUGGUAAAAAUCCAGUGAAAGAAAAAUCGGUAAAAAGAAAACAUGAGGGACAACCUGUAGAAGGUGAUAGUACACAAUGUGAUCCUACACAAGGUCAUCCUCAACAAUGGAAAAAGAAAAGCAUAUUUUUUGAGCUUCCGUGUUGGAAGGAUAAUCUUCUGCGCCAUAAUCUUGAUCCGAUGCAUAUUGAGAAAAUGUAUGCGAUAAUGUCAUAUUUACUUUACUAAAUGAUAGGCAAAAGAGUAAAGACCAUUUUAAAGCUCGAGAAGAUCUUCAAAAUAUGGGCAUAAGAUCUAAUCUUUGGCCUGAUGAAAAUGGUAUAAUUUCUCCUGCGGCCUUUAGUCUAACGGGUAAAGACAAAAGGAUUUUUUUAACAAUUUAAAAGAAUAUUAGGGUGCCUGAUGGUUAUUCAAGCAACAUAUCUAGAUGCAUUGACUUGGUAAAUCUCAAGGUGAAUGGAAUGAUGAAGAGUCAUGAUUGUCAUAUAUUAAUGGAACAACUUCUACCAUUAGCCAUUCGCACAACAUUACCUCAUGAGAUUUCAGCAGUAUUGAUUGAGUUGUGCUCAUUCUUUAGACAACUAUGUGGUAAGGCAUUGAAAAUUGAAGACUUGGAAAAAAUGCAAAACCAAAUUGUCCUCACUUUAUGCCACAUGGAAAUGUUAUUUCCUCCCUCGUUCUUCACUGUUAUGGUUCACUUGGUUGUUCACCUUGUUGAAGAGGUUAAGCUUGGAGGUCCUGUUCAUUAUCGGUGGAUGUAUCCUGUUGAAAGGUAAACUAUGUGAAUUUGUUGUAAUGAUAUUAACUUAGAAAGUAAAGUAAAAAAAUUAACUAAUACAAUUUUGGUUCAAUAAUAGGUACUUGGGAAAACUUAAAUCGCAUGUGCGUAAUAAGGCAAAACCAGAAGGGUCUAUUGCAGAAGGAUACCGUUUUGAAGAGAUUCUUACAUUUUGUUCAAGAUAUAUAGAAAACAUUGAGACUAGAUGGAAUCAACCUGGACGUGUAGAUGAUGAACCUAUUGGUGAUAUCCAAACAGGUUCACGUGUAACCGAAUUAUUUCCUAGAGUCGGAAAACAUGUGGGUGGAUCUUCAUAUUACACCCUAACACCAAUUGAAAAGUUGCAGGCUCAUAGACACGUUUUAACGAAUUGUCCAAUAGUUGAUGACUAUCUAAAGUAAGUAGUUUUAUUCCAUUUAAGUUGUUUCAUCUACACUAUUAAGAUUUCUUUUUACAUCUAAUAUCGAAUAACCAAAUAGGCAGUUCCGAAGUAUUACUCAGAACCAAAUGAGACGCGGUCAAAGAAGUGCUUCUGAGAUAGACAAGAAGGUUCAUAGAGAGUUUGCUCAUUGGUUCCGCAAUUGUGUGAGUUUUCGUACAAAAAUAGAUGUUUGUAUUGAAUUAGUUUUUAAUAACAAGACUAAUUGGAUGUUGUAUCGUGUAUAGAUUUGCAACAAUCUUGACAACAUUGAUGGACCAGAUAAAGAUGUCCUCAUUAGUCUUGCUCAUGGCCCUUAUGAUAAAGUUAAAAGGUUUACCGCAUUCAAUGUCAAUGGGUUCAAGUUUCGAACGUUGGAACGAGACAAUCUUUUAAAAACUCAAAAUAGUGGAGUUUUUGGCAUGUUUGGGACACGAAGUUAUUCAAGCAAUAGUGAUACCCAAAUGAGAUUUGGAGGGGUGCCUUAUUAUGGAAGAUUGAUAGACAUUAUUGUGCUUUCCUAUGAUGGCUUCAUAGUGCCCAUGUUUAAAUGUGAAUGGGCUAAUACCAUAAAUCCAAGAGGCAUUAAGAUAGAUAAGUUGGGUUUUACCUCUAUAAACUUUGCAAGACUACUCCAUACUGAGGAACAUGAAGAUAAUGAGCCAUACAUUCAAGCGUCAGAAGCUCAUAUGGUUUUUUAUGUGGAUGAUGAGAAUGAACAAGGAUGGAGCAUACCUGUUCAUUUGAAGCCAAGAGAGUUGUAUGACAUGGGUGGAAAUGAUGAAAUUAUGACACCCAUUGAGCCAUACCCAUCACAAAAUUUGGAACAAAUUUUUUCUAAUGAUGAUCCUGGAACUUCAGUGGCGAAUGAUAACAAUAAUUAAUAUAUAGUUUUUUAUUGAUAAGAAGUCUAGCUUGUUUGUAACUCGUGUGAAACUUAUGUUUUUUGUUUCUUAUCCCUAAUUAAUGUAUGACAUUCUUACUUUUUAUGUUUAUUCAUCGUUAUAGAAAUGAAAUACCAACAGAUGGCAUUGUUACUCUAUGUUUUAUUGCAUAAUUUAUCUUUUAAUUUAUUGUGUUUAUGUUAUGUUUAUUAAAUUUGUAGUCAUAAUUUAUGUUACUCUUUGUGUUUAUGUUAUAUUUACUAAAUUUGUAGUCAUAAUUUUUCUUGCAGUUGAUGUUUGUUGUGAAAGAAUGAAUUCAUCAUAUGAGGAUAUUCGCCGCAAAACAAUUGAAGAGAAUCAAAAAAAGAUGCAGGCUCUCAAUCUUACUAAAAUCUCUCAAUCCCUUUACAAAUCAUCUUCGUCUUCUUCAAAACCAUCAUCGGUUAGUAAUAAAUUCUCAAUACUACUCUAUACAAAUUAAUUGUAUUGAUUGUUGACUAAUAUUCACUGAUGCAUUUUAUUUAGUCUGUGAAGGGUCGUCCGAGGUUUGUACAACCUGGAGAGCUUGAAGUAAACAAGAAGCGCCUACGUUCAACGACAACUCAAAAAUCAUCAAUAGCCUCUCUGCCAAUCCAAACUACAAUAACCCCUACACCAAUCCAAACUACAAUAAUCCCUCCACCAAUCCAAACUACAAUUGAAGAUGUUGUGGUAGAAGAUGAGACUGAAAAUGUUGUGGUAGGAGAUGAUACUGAAAAUGUUGUGGUAGGAGACGAGACUGAAGAUGUUGUGGUAGAAGAUGGGGCAGAAGAUGUCGUUCGAGUCACUAGUUCUGAGUAUUGGGAUGUAAAUGUUAUUAGUAAGUAAGUUAAGGUUAAAGUAUCUGUAAAUAAUUUUUUUUUUUUUACAUAGUUGAGUUAUGACAUUAAUUUAUUUACUUUUUUAUGUGAUAGAUGAGGAGGGUUAUGUUUCAAACACACGUUUAUGUGUGAAAGACUUGGUUGCAAAAUCAAAGCCGGGUGGAACAUGGAUAAUACUUGAAUGGGAUAAGACUCAUCGUGCAGUAGGACCAGCUGGUUUGUUAGCAGAGUAUUUGGGAAUAAUUAUUAGAAUGUUUAAAGACUUUCCCAUAAUGUUCGAGAGUUGGAGGGAUAUUCCAUUGGAUAGAAAAACAAAGUUUUAUGAUUCAAAGAUAAAGGUAUCAUUAAUAAACAAUUAUAUUUUUUUUAAAAUUAAUUUCAUGGUGAUUAUUAUUUGCUUUGUUCAACUAAUUUUUAUUCUUAUGGUUAGCGCCAUUUUGUUGCUGAUGAUGGGCAUGACAAAGAUUACAUACUUGCUUCUGCUGCAAAGAAAUGGAAGGAUGAUCGUUGCCAAUUAUUUCAAAGAUUUUAUAGAUGGGAUCUCACUUUAGAGGAAAAUCUUCAAAAUUAUCCAAAAUGCAAAGGCAUUACGGAAAAUGAUUGGGUUGUUUUUGUUCAAUAUAGGCGGAAAGAAAAAACCCAGGUAAUAUUAGUGUUUUACUUGUAUAAUUUUAUUUUUAAUAUAUAAGUAAGGAAUUGUAUCUUAUUCCUAUCUAUAACGCGUAUUUUUAUUUGUUAUCAAUGUAGAGAAUAGCAAAACAAAAUGCCGAGAAUAGAGGAAAAUUGAAGACUCCGCAUACACUUGGAUUUAAGUCGCUUGCAAGGAAGCAACAUGAGUUGGUAUGUCUAAAUCUAUAUAUUGUUGAUUGUAUAAUUAAUAGUAUAAAUUAUUAAUAUCUGUUCUUAUUUGUAGGAAUCAAGAGAUGGUCGAUCAUACAGUAGAGGAGAAAUGUAUGCAAUUUCUCAUAAAAAGUCUAAUGGGUCUUUUGUCAAUGAAGAUGCAUACAACAAUAAUGUAAGUACAAGUUAAUUCUUUUGAAAUAUUUCUUAGUCUCCUUAAGGUUUGAGAAAAAAAUCAAACCUUUUGGCAUCUUAUAGAGGUGGGGAGAACCUGUCUGAAAACUGGUUAAGUUAUGUUAAAAAUUAUGAUUAUUUUUUCUAUAGUUACUUUGUCUCAUGAUAUAUUUAAUUUAUGCUUAGACAAUUCAGUUGUGUUCUACUAAGUAACUUAGGAACUAAAUGAGUGGCCGUUGUAAUACUAAGUAACCUAGUGGUGAUUUUAAUUUUAUGUACUAUUAUAAGCAUACAACAAAGUAGCCACUGUAAUUCUAUCAAACUCAUUUCCCAUAUAUUAGCAUUUUUCAACUUAAGAUAUACAUUUUUCAAUCAUUUCCAAGUAACUGAAACAGUAGCAACUUAAAAUGUAUUUAAAAAAUACACUUAUGGACAUUACUGUUACAGUAGCAACUUAAGAAAUACACUUAUGGACAUUACUUUUUAAAUAUUCAAAAUAUAUUUAACUUCCGUGUAUUCAAUUUCUAUGUUCAAUACGCAUAUGUGUUUUUCUUUGACCAUAUAGUACAUAAAUUAGUAUAUAAAUCAAUAUAAUAUAUAUAUAUAUAUUCAUAAGUUCCUAUAGUACAUAAAUGGGGGUUUAGAAAAGUGCAUGCACUAUUCUCAUAUCACAUAUAGCAGCGAAUAGUGGAGUUGGUCUUAAAUACUAUGUUGAGAAAAGUGCAAUCAGUGGACUAUGUAUUUAAAAAAAUACUUUGGUAUGAAAGUGUAAUGUACUAGAACUUGUAUUUUAUAAAUAAUUUGGUAUGAAAGUGCAAUGUAUUGGAACUUAUUACUAAUAUAAAUUAUCCUUAUUAUAUAAACAGUAGUUCAGUUUUCUCUUUUGCAUGUGCAGGAAAAAUUACAAGCUGCAAUUAAGGAUUCCGUGUCUGAAAAUGAGGCAUUUGAGAAAGUAUUUGGAAAAGAACAUCAUGGAUAUGUUCGUAGCAUGGGACUUGGAGUUACGCCAUCUCAAAUUAAUAGAUCUACGAGAUCAUCGUCUUCUUUUGAAGAAAAUGAAAAAAUAAAGGAAAUGCAAGAAGAAAUUAAUGCACUUAAAGAAAAGAAUUCAAAAAUUGAUGAAUUGAUGGAGGCAAUCGCAUUCUUAAAGCAAAGGGACAAUGCUAGGAAGGAGGAAAUUGAACUCUUAAUGCAAAUGCAAAAUUCUAGUGGAAGACAUGUAUAUCAUUUUGAUGCAUUUGAAGUUAAAUUGCAUGAGCAUUAUUUUAAAGAGUAUUAUUUUAAUAUAUAUUUUUUUCAGGGAUUGGAAUCACCUGUUGAUGGAAGACGUUCUUCUGAGUCUAGCUACCGAAUUGCAGAUAAUGGAUCAUCAAGAAGGACAAAUUAGACUUUUCUAUGAAUCAAUUAGAUUAUGAACGUUCCCUUAUAUUUUUGGCAAUAGGAUGCUUAUUAUUAUAAGAUUAUGAUUUGAUAUCUUUUUUUGGUUUUUUGUACUACAUGACAUGAUUAUGGAGCUACCAUUUUUUUGAUAUCAUGAUGCUUAUUUGAUAUUACAUGUUUUUUAUUGGAAUUAAUUUUACUACGUUAAAAAGUGAUAGAAAAUAAAAUAAAAAGAUAAAGAAAUAUUACAAAAAAAUAAUACCAUAAAUAAAAAUAUUUUAGUAGAAAUAAUUUAAAAAAAUAUACUAUAUUUAAAAAUAUUUUAGUAGAUAAUAAUUAAAAAACAAAAAAUAUUAUAAAAAAAUAAUACUAUAGAUAAAAAUUAAUAAUGGUUUACACUGUUGCUAAAAGUAAAAAUUAAAUAAUUAGUACAACUUUCAAUUGUUGCCAAAUAAAUUUUAUUUAAAAUUUUUAAAUCAAAACAUAAUUCCACGACGGUUGGUAACCGUCAAGAUGUGACACCCAUGAGGGUUUGAAACCGUCGCAAUCAACAAUGAAAACAAAAAUCAAAACGAAAUUCCACGACGGUUGGAAACCGUCGCAAUAUUCAAGUUACAUCAUUUCUCUAACUGUCGUGAGAAAGAACGACGGUUGGUAUGACGGUUUUGACAAUCGUCGCAAUAUAGCCUCGCGACGCACGUUUCUGGGACAGAGCUACACCCGUCGUAACAUGAUAAUUGCGGCGGUUCUAACCGUCGUAACUUGUCAAAAUGAACCGUCGCAAUUUGCUAAUUUUCUUGUGGUGUGGUCCUCCCUAGGCCUUAAAACUAAGGGUUACUUGCAGGAUCGACCAGUUGAUCCUAAGACAUGUGCUAGUGUGACAGGGUAACUUAUUCAAUUCGACAGACUAUUAACUUUGUGAGAAACGACUUCUGACAAAGUAUUGAACAAGUACAGGUUUUUUCCACACAAAAUGAUGAUGAUGCUAUAGACUAUGGGUGACUCGUGACCGACAACACUAUAACAUUCAAAAGACGUACACGACGAACACGCUUUUGGUGAAUUCUAUUAUCGUAAUAAAAUCAGUGUCGACAGCGUAAACGACAACAUAAAAUGAUAACUCAAACGUAAAUGAAAUUAAAAUAAAGUGUUUAACGGGAACAAUUGAAAAAUAAGGAAGUUGCAUUGAAAUAAAUGUGGUGAUUCACGUACAUAUCACUCUUAAAAACUCUUGCUUCCUCGCGCUGGGAAUGUGAAGUUUUUUACAAGUGAUUUUAGUACAAAGUGAACACCCCGAGUCCUCGGUGGGAUCCCCUAUUUAUAAUAAACUAAAGAAACUGCCUAAAAGCAAAACUUCUAAAAAAUAACAGACGUCGUGCCACACGAUCUACAAAACUGCUCCAUAUCCUGACGCUUACUCUCCCUGUAACUGCUAGUCAUUUUGAAUUUCAAACUUCUCCCGCUCAGGUAUUUAGGUCGACACCAUCUCCUAUGUGUUUGACACAACCAAGAAUUUCUUAAGUCCCAAUCUUCAGUUCAGUCGACACAAACUUCUCCCGCUCAGGUAUUUAGGUCGACACCAUCUCCUAUGUGUUUGACACAACCAAGAAUUUCUUAAGUCCCAAUCUUCAGUUCAGUCGACAGAAUGGAUUUCGACCAAACAUGAUUCUUCUAUCGGUUGCAUCUUCUAGUAACUUGUGGUUUUCUCAGCUCUUGUUUAUCUUGGGAUUUCAAACCUCCCCUUGGUGGGGUAUAAUCCUUAAAUACAUAAGGCACUUUCAUUGAUUACGCCUUCAACAUGCCCUAUCAAUUUCUUGUGGUAACAAAAUGCCCCCUAGAGAUGCCAUUUUCGAAUGUCGACUUUUUGUGAGAUAAUGACAUCUUUGAGAUGUCAACUUGUUCUUUACCGCUUCCACUUCUACUUAGUGGUACACCUGUUUGUGCCACGCUGUUGACGUUAUCUAAUCAUGACAAACGUCUCCUUUUUUCCUCGAGACGCAUAAAAUCACGUCUCCAUCACUUCACGUCUUUAUGACGAAAACGUGUUUACCACCAUAACUGCCUCUUCGCCUCCACGUGUCUGCAGACGUGGGAAUAUGGGUACAUGUGUCAAAAAGGAAAAUCAAGCGUUCACUCUUCCUUUUCCUAGGGUUUAACUCUUAUAAAACCCUUGUUUCUUCUUCUUCUUUCCUUUUUUCGGCCUCUGCUUCAGUAAACAAAAACAACCUUUCUUCUCCAAACCUUCAACUUCUUCCAUGGCUAGCUCAAGCAAAAGCAAAACACUUCCCUCCGCUGUGAAGCUCACACAACCACUCACCAUUGAUGGCAAGGAAUACAUUCCUGAACCUCCCUUUGCUGAAGAGAAAGCCAAAAUCUGGCGUUCCCAAGUAUUAAUCCCUUUCUCCCUGUCUGACAAACCUUUAGCAUUCUUAGGUCCACUUCCAGAAAAUUGUUGUCCUGAGAUAACCAAGACAAACUCCUUUUUCCCCACCAGUCAUCUUUCUGAACCUCUAGUUUCUUCUCAAAGACCUUUCUCCCUUCGUUAUGUCGAAAGGAAUUUUAUGACUGCUCCUCCCAAGAACUGUCCUAAGUUUUGCGCUUGGAUGGAUCGUUUAGAAACAGAAAAAAUCGACCACUGGAAACGGAUAGGUAUUUAUACCCUUCUGCAGAUUGCCCGUUGUGCCCCCCCUCAAUCUUGUGGCAUGUUGCUGGCUGCCCUCCAAUUUUGGGACAGGUCGACCAAUUCUUUUCAUACAAAAUGUGGCAUGAUUACACCGACACUCUUAGAUAUUACUGCCAUUACAGGCUUAAAACCGACCAGCGAAGUCUUCGACUGUGAAGCCGUAGCACCAGUCUCUCUAAGGUUUGACGUUGGAGAUUCUCGGAAGCCGACAUAUAAUAACUUUAUCGAUCAUCAUGCUACAUCUUCAGGCCCUGUGACCACUGAAGAACAUGUGGCCUUUUUAACUCUUUGGCUGUCUCGUUUUGUGUUCUGCUCUAGAUCGAUGCAGAUAGCCAAACAUUUUGCUCUUCUGGCAACUCAGCUACACCAAGAACGUGACAUCGCUCUUGGCCAAUUCAUACUGGCCUCUCUUUAUGAAUCUUUAUUCGAAGUUGUCUGCCAAAUCAAACUCUUUGACCCUGAGAACUCAAAGAAGAAGAAUGUUUUGGCCCACGGUCCUUUUUGGCUCCUACAACUGUGGCUUAACACCACUUUUUCUAAAGACAUAACGUCCCAUGGGAUGAGAAGGGUUGUGUGUCCCCCAGAAGAACGACACCUUUUUUGGAAGCGAUUAAUCCCUUUGACGCCCAUCAACAAAACCUUUCCUAACGUCAAUGUGUUUCGCCUCUUGUUUACCAUCAUGUUGACUCGCGCCGACUUUCACCCUUCUAUGGCUCCUUUCAGUAGUCGGACUGAAGGUCCUGAAUGGCUCACCAGGGCUUUUCCUUCGAGUGAAGAUGAGCAUAAAAAUGAAACCUUUGUUAUCUGGAGACGUUUUCUGGUCCCCCAAUUUCUGUCGGUUGUAACCUCCGGCACCAACCUUGGCCUAAUUGCUUACCAACCCAACUUGGUAGCCAGAGAAUUUGGACUUUGUCAGUUUGUCCCCAAGUCCCUGUAUUCUUCUCUCGACAUACUCACAAAUAUCCUUUGUGAUCAACCCUGGAGUAUGAUCCAAGAAGAUAUUUAGGCCCUUUGGGAAAACCGACCAAGGCUCCAUUCUAUACCAUUUCAACCAGCCUUCUUCUGCACCAAGGAAUUUGAUGAUUGGUGGCAAUCAUAUCUUGUUGCUUACGUUGGUGCUCUUGAGGCCAAAUUAUCUGAACUAACUCAGACUCUUAUUUAUUUGCAGGCGAAAUCGAUCAAGUGUAAGGCUCUCCAUGCCAAACAAAUUCAAGCUUUUCAGAACUAUUUCCGAGUUAUGUAUCGACCUGAUAAUCUUCGUCGGACCAUCUCUGAGGCCGCGUCCGAAUUAAAGGAAAAGGUAACCGACAGGCUCCCAAAACUUAAAAUCCCUGGUUACGCGAAACACAAGUAUCUUUACGCCCUUCAUUUUGGAAACAUCAAAUUCCCUCCUUUGCCAUCUAGCCCAUUGGCUUUGGCCUUUGGCAAUUCAAUUCCAGAUUGGUAUUAUUGUCCCUUUUCAGACAUGCAAAAUGCUUAUAAGAAAAAGGCUGAUAGAGUGGUACCGACGAAGCAUUAUCUACCCUACUACUCAGGGCCACUUCAUAUUGAUCCUCAAUAUGUUAGAGUGCUCGAUUCCACACAAAUUGGUAACACUUUUCUGGAAAGCUAACACCUCCUUUUAUUUAGAUUUUGUCGCUUACUUGAUUUUCUAUGUUUCUUUACAGCAAUCCCCAUAGACCCUGUGGAUCACGUUUCUGCCAAUGAACCUAUCCUUUCGACACAAUAGACUCAGGUUCAACUCUGGCUGAUUUUCCGUUUUCUUUUACUUUGGUAUUUAUUCUUAACUGUCAUUUCCCCUCUUGUAGGCUGCUCCUAAGAAGUCCUCUGAUGAUGAUGAGCGACUUAUUGCCCAAGUUUUGAAAAAACCCAGUUCUUCGGUAUGCACCUAUAUAUAGCAAUCUCACUCAACCCUAUGAUUCCUCUAAGUAAAACAAUGCGUGGUCUCUAACUUCUUACUUAUGUGCAGGGUCAACCACGUUCGACAGAUCCACUUGUCUCUUCUCAAUCCAAGAAAUCCAAAAAACAUAAAUGUUCUGUUGCCAAAGGACCUGAGGUAUUUCUUGUCGGCUUGUCUGAUCUUCUGACUAGAAUAUCUGCUUAUAACCUCUCUUCAUGUCUUCAGCCGACUCCACCGCCGACUCAACCAUCUUCUCAACACUCCCACAAAUCCAAAGGCCACCAGGGCCAUAAAAGGAAGAAGCACGAUUCUCCCUCUAGGAGUGGUGAAGCCAAGAAGAAAAAAACACCACAAAGUGCUCACUCCAAAGGCUCAUUCUCUAGAUGCCGACGCUAUUGUGAUAGACACGUCUAUCCUUAAUAAAGUCCCUGAUCCAGCUGUGGGAACUUCGAAGUCGACCAGCACCCCUAUUGCUGCUGUCUUUGAGGAAGAAAAUCUGGAUGUCGUUCUCCUUACACCGACACAGGUAAUCACUUGUUUUAUUAUCUUUUUCCUUGAAUUACUGGACUUUUCUUACAAACAUCUUUUUCUCCAUCUCACCAAGCACCCUCUGUCGACACUGCUGGUGAGUUUAUUGGCUUCCCUAUCCAAAUUAGUGAUAGUGACUCUGAUUCAGUCACUAGCCCUGCAACGCACACAAAUUCCAAUUCGACUAGUUCUGACUCUAGUCUUUCUUCAGCUUCAUUGCCUUUGCAGGAUUCAAGGGGACCAAGGGAUGUUGGCAUCACAAAAACCCAACCUUUUCAAACUACUCCUCUAUCAACUACUUCCCCUUCAUCUUCCCAGGGGCUGGCAAUAAAGCCUUCUGCUCUAGAAGCAAUUGCUAGGCUUCGUAGCCUAGUAAGAUCACGUGAUGCUUCUUCAGGUUCUGAGCAACUUCACCAUUUUGGUAAGGUGGGUUCUGAAGCGACAAAGGUCAAAGCUCUAAUGGACAAGGUUUGUUUUCACGCCUUGAAUCCAGAUCUCCCCCAUGUGCUUAUGAGUGAACCUGUUGUCGGCCCAGAACUCUUGCAUGUGCUUGCCCAACUCAAAGAGCUUCAGCUUUCUGAGUAUGCUAAGUGUGCAAUGGCCGCUUUAGAAAAACUUCUGGUUCCCAUGCUGCGCCAUCUCGACAACGUUAGGGAAAAUGAACACCAAAUUAUAACUACUGAGGCCUUUGUGAAGGAGAAAUAGGAGUCCGUGAUGAAGGCCGACGAAGAGGUCACCAAAAUGUUGGGAAUGAUUGAGGAGAAGAAAAAGGAAUUGGCCUCUAAACAAACAAGAGCUGCUGAGAUCCGCCAGCAAAUUGAUGACCUUCGGCGUCAAAUUGCUGCUUUGGACAAUGAGUUGGAGUCAAUUACUGAGGAGGAAUCGUGUAUUGUCGACAAGGUUAUAAAGCCGGCCCAAGAUACUGUGGAGCAGACCACCAACAAUGCCUUGGCUGUAGCUGAAGAACUUUUCAACGUUGAAAAAAAGCUUGAACAACUUAAAGUCCAGGCCGACAACUUGGAACCUAAGUCUUUACACUACAACCUCGAGCUUCAAUCUUUUCAGUCUAGAUUCGGUCAACUUUAACCGAUUUUAUUUUUGAUGUAAUAUUUGCACAAUGGCUUUUUUGCCAAUUUUUAUGCCAUUAUUUUAUUUUUCAGCACUGUGUACAUUUAAUUUCCUGUGCUUUUAUAGCUGGUUUCAAACAUAGUUUUCUCCAACCUAGUUUAUUCAACAGCCAUUUAGCCUGUCAAAAUCUUGACCUCUUGAAGGAGAGGCCUAUACUUUUUUAAGUAUUUUACAUUUACCCUUAAGAUUCGCCUAUCUGGUGCCAACUCUUCGACCUCGUAUGUUAUUAGAGAAAGCCUGCAAAACCUUAAACGGUCCUUCCCAAUUUGGGGACCAUUUGCCCAAAACUCUAUCAUUUCUAUCUAUAGGCAAGAUCACUCUCCAAACUAAAUCGUCGACAACGAACAUUUUGCCUUUCACCUUCUUAUUGUAGGCUUUGGCGACUUUUUCUUUCUGCCUUUGUAGUGAAUCAAAGGCUAAUAUUCUCUCCUUAUCUAAAUCGACCAAUUCGUCUGCCAUCAUGCUCCAAUAAUCUUCAGAAGGUAUUUCAUGUUGCCUUUGGAUUCUAACUGCAUGAACCUGAAUCUCUACUGGUAACACUAUGUCAUGCCCAUAUACCAGUCGAAAUGGAGUUGUUCCGGUUGCCUCUUUUGGCGACGUUCGACAUGCCCACAAAGCUUGAUCUAACGUCUUAUGCCAAUUUCUUGGCUUCUUGCCUACAUGUUUCUAUAUUAAGCUAAUGAUCACUUUAUUGGCCGCUUCGACUUGACCAUUUUCCUGUGCGUAAUAAGGGGUAGAAGUCAAUAAUUUGAUUCCCAUAUCUUUUGUAAAAUCUUGCAUCUUUCGACCAGUAAAAACUGAUCCUUGGUCGGUUGUAAUUGUUUUCGGGAUACCAAAUCUGUAUAUGAUGUGACUUUGGACAAAGUCUAUCACAGCCUCUUGAUCCACGUUUGUCAAUGCCACGACUUCGACUCAUUUUGUGAAAUAGUCGAUACCGACCAACACAUACCUUUGAUGUUUCGAUGAAGCUGGUUUUAUUUCUCCAAUCACGUCCAAUGCCCACCCUCGAAAAGGCCAGGGUUUCACAAUUGUAUGCAACUCGCUUGCAGGCACAUGUUAUAUGCCCCCAUGCAAUUGGCAUUCUUGACAACUUUUAGAAAAUUCAAUGCAAUCUUUCAACAUUGCAGGCCAAUAAACUCCUGAGCGCAUCAAAAGUCGUUUCAUCUUCGGUCCCGCUUGAUGCGCCCCACACGCUCCACUAUGUACACUCGACACAACCACAUAUGCCUCACUUUCUCCCAGGCAUUUUAGCAAAACUCCUUCAGCUGUCUUUUUGAACAAUUCAUCAUUCACCAGGACAUAGCUGAGGGCCCUAUAUUUCACCUUUCGAUCUGUCGACCCUAUAGGAUUACACAAAUAAUCGACUAACAGUUUACGCCAAUCAUUUUCUCCCUCGUCGUCGACGGUCAGAAUUUUAAAAUGAUAUCUAUCUACAACUCCUAACUUUAAUCGACAAAUCUGAUGGUGAUAACAAUGUCGCUCGUACCUUCUCUCUUACUUGAACCUCUUCUUCAUCCUGGUCUUUUGACGCUUUGUACCCUGAAGCUUCCUGCGCCAAAUCGUUUGCUCUCUGGUUCUCUUUCUGUGGUAUAUGCUGGAGACUUACUUUCUCAAACCUUUUGAGUAGUCUGAUGGUAAUCACAAAAUACAUGAUUAAAUUUUCUUUGACACACCUGUAUUCUUUUGAUACCUGCUUAAUUACUAACUCAGAGUCUCCCAUAAUUUCGACAUUCCUUGCCCCCAAUUCUAGCAGAAGGUAAUCACAAAAUACAUGAUUAAAUUUUCUUUGACACACCUGUAUUCUUUUGAUACCUGCUUAAUUACUAACUCAGAGUCUCCCAUAAUUUCGACAUUCCUUGCCCCCAAUUCUAGCAGAAGUUUACGUCUUGUGAUCAAUGAUUCAUAUUCUGCUUCAUUGUUUGUGCAUACUCCUUCAAUUCUGUAUUUGAACUCUGCUAGAAUUCCAUUUGGAGAAAUUAUGACUCCCCCAUCCCAUAUCCGUUCUUAUGUCUUGAACCGUUGAAGUACAAUCUCCAUGGCACUAUGUCUACAUAAUUUUGAGCCAUUUCUACCAUUGAAUGGUCGACAAGGAAAUCUGCCACCACUUGCCCUUUCAUCGCUCUUAAAGGCACGUACGUCAGAGAAUACUCAGUUAACGCUAAAGCCCAUUUACCGAUUCGACUAUGCAAAAUUGGUUUAGACAACAUGUGCUUAAUAAUAUCAAAGUGAGAAGAUACAUACACAUCAACAGGCUUAAUAUAUUGCUUUAGUUUCAUACAAGAAAAAUAUAGGCACAGGCAUAGUUUUUCUAUAUCACUAUACCUAGUUUCAGGAUCAUUAAGCAUUCAACUAAGGUAAUACACAAGUCUUUCGACACAUUUUUCAUCCUCUUGGACUAACAUACUUCCUAUAGUCGAUUAUGAAGCUUCAAUAUACAACCUCAUUGGCCUAUUCCUGACAGGAGGGGCCAGUACUGGAGGCUUAGUCAAAUAUUCUUUAAUUUUGUCGAAAGCCUCUCGGUGCUCUUCUUGCCACUUAAAAUCCUCAUUCUUCAGUCGAAGGAGUGGUGAAAAAGCUUUAGUUUUACCACUUAAAUUUGAUAUAAAUCUUCUAAGAAAAUUUAUUUUGCCCAACAAAGAUUGCAGUUCCUUUUUGGUCGACGGAGGCUUGACGUCCAUAAUGGCUUUUGUUUUGCUUUGGUUUAUUUCAAUACUUUUGUAUGCACCACAAGCCCAGGAAAUCACCGCAAUGCCACAAAAGCCAACCUUUUUGCGAUUCAUUUUCAAUCCAUAUUCUUCCAUCCUUUGAACGGCCUUCGGAGAUGUUCGACGUGAGUGAGAUCGAACCAUUUAUUUUAUCAUACUUCAAUAAAAUCAUGGAACAUUGAGUUCAUUACCCUCUGAUAUGUCGCUCCGGCAUUUUUCAGGCCGAAUGGCAUGACAACCCACUCAUAUGUACCUAAGGCUCCUGGGCAUCGAAACGCCAUCUUCGGCACAUCUUCCUCUCAGAUUUUAAUUCUUUGUCGAUGUUGGCACUGAUGUAUGUUGGCCUUUUGUCGCCAUUUUCGCCAAGGUCGACUUCUUCUAAGGGGUCUUUUGGUCGCAUCUUUUCUGGCGCCUUCGGAUCUUUUUCAAACCCUAAAGGUUCAUCGUCAUAAAUGCAGUCCAAACACUGCAUGUUGACGUUUCCUUUAGCCAAAGCUGGCUUAUCUGGAGGCUCUGGCUCAAUAGCCAAAUUACCUUCUUUCUUUAAAACAUAGGCUUCGACAGCCACGUUUUCUUCAGCAUCUAGGGCCGAUUUUAUUUUGUUCUCGGCAACGUAUACCGAAAUCCUUUUUAGAGAUUCUAGCUCAGUCAUCAUUAGUUAUAUCCCCCCAGCCUGUCGGCCAGAUAUCUGCAUAGGGUGGAUCAUCUAAAUGUUCCACAUCCCAAAUGAAGCCAUGAGUCUCGUGCAAAGUUAGAGAAACAAAAGCUUCACUAAAAUUAGCAUACACAUCCUCAGCUGGUAAACAAGGAGAAAUGCUAGCCAGCUUUCUCUCGAACUCCUUCUUGUCGACAUUGUUCACGUCAGUCAUGAAGUAACCUUGAUCAGCUUCGAUAUUUUCGACCACUCCAUCUUCUCUCCAAAUCACCAAUCUUUGAUGUGCUGAAGAUGGUACAACUCCGACACCAUGGAGCCAUUCUCUGCCGACUAGCAAAACUUGAUCAGCUUCGAUAUUUUCGACCACUCCAUCUUCUCUCCAAAUCACCAAUCUUUGAUGUGCUGAAGAUGGUACAACUCCGACACCAUGGAGCCAUUCUCUGCCGACUAGCAAAUUGUAACUUGGCUUGGCAUUUAUUACCAUAAACAAUGUCGGCCUAGUUAUUGAACCAACAGUGAUAUUCACCAUGAUCACACCCAUUGUGCUUUUUGUUUUGCCCCCGUAGUCAGACAAGACCACGUUGUUGGAUCUAACAUCAAUAUCAUACUUGCCAAUCUUCCUCAGAAUAUGGUGUGGCAUGAUGUUAACAGUGGCGCCACAAUCUACCAACACUUUGUUGAUGGUCACACCUUCCACUUUGACCCUAAUCAACAAAGGUUUCAAAUGACUUUUCAUAGUCAUCGUGGGCCUCUCAAAAACUGCUUCUUGGCUCCCAGCAGAACCAUCAUUCAACACAAAGUAACAUCUUGGCUUAUGUAAUGCCAUUUCUUCAGCGUCGGCAUCAUCUACCAAAUCCUCCACCUCAGUCACACAAUUAUAUUCCUGUGGUAGAAUUUCCACCACGUUGACUAAGAUGUCCAAACUCGCUUUUGAUUCUGAAUUGAAGUCAUCAGUAACCUCAUCAGAACAUUUUUCAGUUGGUCGACGGACAUACUCCCUGAUCCGUUCUUUAGCUGCCGUGUCGACCUUCAAAACAACUUUCUUUCCAGGAUUCGCCCCACUAGCCAUGCCUUUUCCAACUAUUCCUCUAGCAGCCUCUCUUUCAGCCUGCUUACAACGCUGAAAGCGUCUCCAUUGAGUUCUGGACAUGAGGUUCUUCCCCAAAUAAUUUUCAGAAACAUGAGUCCUUUUCUCAGACUUGAACUCACGCCUGUAGUUGAUUGCUAAACCUCCUCUAGCAGCAGCAACACCUUAUGGGGUUUCUUGUUUUCCCUGAGGCUUGAUCCAGGUGCCUCUAGGAGCACUUGCCGAUGGUACGAAGCUCCUAGGCCUCGCCUGAGCAUUUUCCACAUCCUUCUUUAGGAUUCUUUCAUUUUGGUUCUCUUUGUUCAGCCCACUUCUUUUGCUUUUGUCCAAUUGCAGCUUCUGGAAAUUUUCAGCAGCAACUUUGUCGGUGACAGCACCACAUCUAGGGCAUAAGCAAACUUGUGAACCCUUAUUCUUGAAGCGAUACAGGAAAUCUACCAAAUCUCCAUCAGCCCUUGGGUAGACUUCAGCUAUGUCGACAUCUGGGCUUUCCCCAGUUUGCUCUAGCAUGUCGGCCUCAUCAUAUUUAGUGAUCUCGACCAUGUUGAUCUCGACUGGCUCAACGAAUAGAGCUUCCUUCUGGUGGAGAGGGUCAACGUCGAUCUUCAUUCUGCGGCCCGCAAAUUUCAGCCUGCCUUCUUGAAUUGCUUUCUGAACCAGAUCCCUGAAAAGAUAACAAUUAGAGAUAUUAUGACCCAGAUAAUUAUGAUACUUUCAAAAUCCUCUUUUCUGUCUUUGUUCUAAUGGUGGUAUUUUAGUACCAGAUGGCACCACCAUUUGACCAUCUUUAACUAACAAAUCAAAAAUUUCCUCACACUUUGUCACGUCAAAUGUAUAAGUUUUUGAAGGGAAUUUUGAAUUGUUUUCGACAGGAUUUUUCCCUUAUGCAGGAAGUAAUAAUCGACACUCAUAAGCAGACCCUGGCUUUAACUCAGCCACGUCAAUUUUUAAUUCGGUCGAUGAGGCAUAAUCAGCCUCGUAUAUUGGAUCUAUCACGUCAUAGUCGACGAACGCUACUUUUUCUUUCUUAGCCUUAUUGUGUCUAACAUUUUCUAACCUUAGCCAUUCGAGAUGUCGAACUCUAUCAGCCAAUUGUGACAUACUCUUUACAAAAGUUGGGUCUAUUUUCUUCCUAAUGGAAUAAUCUAACCCCCUAGCAGCCAUUUGAACAAGUUCAUGUUCUGGUACUUGCGUAAAGCACCUGACCUUUAAUGAUUUGAAUCUAUUCAGAUAAUCGUCAAUACUCUCAGCAAACCUUCUCUUAAUACUAGACAAUUCUGCCAAACUAAUUUUAUAGUGUCCUUCGUAAAACUGUUCAUGGAACUUCUUUUCUAACUUGGCCCAUAAAUCAAUCGAACUUGGGGCCAAAGAAGUGAACCAUGUGAAGGCAACCUUAGUCAGAGAGGAAGGAACGUUUUUUACUCUCAAACACUCAUUAUGAGCUAAAUCUCCUUACUCCGUUAGAUAUCUGGCAAUAUGUUAUAUUGUCGACUCACCAGAUUCUCCCCCAAACUUAGUGUAUUUAGGCACUUUCAUUCCUCUAGGUGCCUCGGUUUGGAGAAUAAAUUCAGCCAACGGGGAAUCAUAUAGUGGCCUUUGCAAUGUGACACUCAUAUCAUUCCUAGCCAUAAUCCUUUCGAUAAUAGUUGUCAAAUUAUUUUCUACUGCUAAGUCUUCUUGUCGAUGUUUAUCGACAAUUUGAUCAGCAUCUUGGUGUCGGUUAACCAACACCAUCUGGUUACGUCUUUCUACUCCUGAUUCAACGUCUUGAUUUUGUUGGGGUCUAAGGAUUUGUCCCUCAUGGACUGUCUUAUCUUCUGCUGCCCCUAUCUCCACUUGAACAUGAAUGGUUUGCCUGACCACUUGUGCCAUCUGUGAGCCGGUGCCCCCAGGAAGUUACACAAGCGUGUCAAUUUAUUAGCCACCUGCCUAUUUGUUUCAGCAGAUUCCUGUAUCACAAGAUUAAAAAUUGUACCCAUUUGAUUAGUUAACAUAUUAACCAACUCAUGAUUACUAUCAUCCAUUUGCUGCCUCAACACCGCUAUUGAAGUGUUCGACAGCGGCAUGGUUCUAUUCCGAGUAUUAUUCCUAUUCUGAGCAUUGCCCCCUUGCACUGAUCCUUGUAAGGAGGGAUUCGUAUUUUGAGUGUUGUCUGAAAACAAUGCUGCAAUUGAUGUCGACUGAUAUCCUGACAUUAAGGAAUACGACAUUCCAUAAAGAGGAUAUGUGGUGCCAAAGCGAGGCACAUAAGGUCUGAACGUCGUUAUUGUUGAUCUUGAACCUCCCGAUGGAGGUAAAGGAAUUGAUGCUCCAACCGCACCCGUAGUCGACAUCGUUGUGGUUGAACUUGUCAUUGGCGGCAAAGUUGCAACCCGUGAGAUUACUGUUUCCGUAGUGGAUAAAGUCCCUUGUGGCACUUCAUCUGUAUUGGAGUUUGACAUUUUCAUAGUUUCUUGUGGCCUACUAUAUAGUUUGCCACUUCUAAGUUUCAUGCAAUUACGUAACUACACUAGCACUGGUCCCAUCGGGUGUGCCAUUUUGUUUACUGUGGAAAUUGGUAAACAACCGCUGGUCCUCCCUAGGCCUUAAAACUAAGGGUUACUCGCAGGAUCAACCAGUUGAUCUAAGACAUGUGCUAGUGUGACAGGGUAACUUAUUCAAUUCGACAGACUGUUAACUUUGUGAGAAACGGCUUCUGACAAAGUAUUGAACAAGUACAAGUUUUUUCCACACGAAAUGAUGAUGAUGCUAUAGACUAUGGGUGACUCGUGACCGACAACACUAUAACAUUCAAAAGACGUACACGACGAACACGCUUUUGGUGAAUUUUAUUAUCAUAAUAGAAUCAGUGUCGACAUCGUAGACGACAACGUAAAAUAAUAACUCAAACGUAAAUGAAAUUAAAAUAAAGUGUUCAACGGGAACAAUUGAAAAAUAAGGAAGUUGCAUUGAAAUAAAUGUGGUGAUUCAUGUACAUAGCACUCUUAAAAACUCUUGCUUCCUCGCGCUGAGAAUGUGAAGUUUUUUACAAGUGAUUUUAGUACAAAGUGAACACCCCGAGUCCUCUGUGGGAUCCCCUAUUUAUAAUAAACUAAAGAAACUGCCUACAAGUAAAACUUCUAAAAAAUAACAGACGUCGUGCCACACAAUCUACAAAACUGCUCCAUAUCCUGGCGCUUAUUCUCCCUGUAACUACUAGUCAUUUUGAAUUUCAAACUUCUCCCGCUCAGGUAUUUAGGUCGACACCAUCUCCUAUGUAUUUGACACAACCAAGAAUUUCUUAAGUCCCAAUCUUCAGUUCAGUCGACAGAAUGGAUUUCGACCAAACAUGAUUCUUCCGUCGGCUGCAUCUUCUAGUAACUUGUGGUUUUCUCAGCUCUUGUUUAUCUUGGGCUUUCAAACCUCCCCUUGAUGGGGGUAUAAUCCUUAAAUCCAUAAGGCACUUUAAUUGAUUACGCCUUCAACAUGCCCUAUCAAUUUCUUGUGGUAACAACAAUAUAUUUUCGAUUGUACAAUAUAUUUUAGAUCAUCAUCUGAACAUAGAUAAACAACACAUAACAUGAAAUACCUUUUCUGAGACGUAUCGAAGAUGUAUCUCCGGAAUAUUCACGGAGAUGCAUCUCCGAUACAAUUCAAAUGUAAAUGACUUCUAUGGAGGAUUUUUUAAAUGUUUUAAAUUGUUACGGUGAUAUAUCUUCGAAAUAUUACAACGUUCAUUCAGAAUUUGAUGUUUUCAAAGAUGUAUCUCCAAAAACUAGAAACAUUUAAAUAAUUUUAUAUGGUGACUAAGAAGUCUUAAGACGCCUUAAAAAUGCUUUUUAUUUUGUUAGGUAGUAUGUUGUUAUAUAAUUGUGAAAAAAGUUGUCAUCUAAUUUUAAUCCUAUUUUGACCCAAAUUAUUGUAUUUAUCAAAUUGUCUUAGUUAAAAUAAUAUAAAUGUGUCAUUCUUAUAUAAUUUAAUUAUUAAAAUUAAUAUCAAUCACCUUAACAAUUUUUAAAUUUAUUUAUUUAUUAUUUAUAAUAUAUAGUUGUCAAGAAAAGAAAAGUAAAAUUUCUAGACACAAAGCAAAAGAAAAAAUUACCUAAUAAAAAUUUGAGAAGGUGAGUAAUGUACUGACGACCAUGCAUCCCAUCAAAUCAAAUUAAUAAUUUUAAAAUAUUUAUAUAAUAUAUAAAAAUAAUAUAUUUUUUAUUGGAUGAGAGUGUAAGUUUUUUUACAAAGGAUCAUUAAAUCCUAAAUUUUUAUAUUCUUUAUAUAAUUUUAUUUCAGUGAUUAUGUAUCUUUUACUAGCGCGUAGAAAAAAAUCAAAUUUGAUACUAGAUACAGAUAGAUGACAUGUGACAAGGGAAAGGAGGCACGUGAGGGGAUGAGGCGUCGAAGCACGUGAACCUAGGCGGAAAUCCAACUUAAAAAUUUAGAACCCUAAUUUUAAAUCUCCACAUUUAAAAACGACACCGCUUGAAUAUUGCAAAAAUAAAUCAUUAUUAUUCAUUUUCGUUCUUUUUUCGCUCCCUUUAUUACAGCCACCGCCUUCACCUUUUUUUCCUUUCGCUCAUUCUUUCUCCAAAACCCUCUUCUUCUCUCGGUGUCUGCUAGGGUUAGGGUUAGGGUUUUACUCCAUCCUUCUUAACUUGUCUUCGUUCCUUCAUUUCUCGCAAGAUCUCUUUCCCCUCUUUCGGAAUUUUCUGUCUGAGCUCUUUCUUCAUUCCAGAUCUUGAUCUAUGGAUGCCCGCAAGAGAGGUAGACCUGAGCAUGGAUAUAACAACAAUGGCGGAUUCAAGAAAUCCAGACAAGGUUUGUUAUUUCUCUUCCUCGCUCCGUAGUUUUGCAUGGUUUAUACUCUUAAUUUGCAUGCUUUGUUUUAAACACUUACUUUCAAGCUUAUUGUGUUGUUGCGUCCUCUCUGUGUGAUGUUUUCUUCCUGAAAAAAUUUCACUUAAAACUUCAAAUUAUCAACACUUUAAUGGUAUGUUGUUGCUCAUUGGGGAGUAUACUGUGUACCUACAACUUAAUUUGUUUCAGAUUGGUCAAAAUUUUCAGUAGUUGGGGGCAAUGAAAAACCUAAUAAAUUAUAAAUUAAUGUGAUUGCCCCCCUUUCUUCGAAAUAUUAAAAUUGUGUCACUCUAAAAUUUGGAUGUAUGUAUAUAUAUUUUAAAAACUGUUAAUAGUUUUUGAGUAUAGAGUAAGAGAUUAAUAAAGGAGGGAAUGAUAACUGAGAAUAAGUAAUAAUGUUUUGCAACAGAAAUGCAGUCCUUAUCAACUGGUGUAGGAAGCAAAUCGAAGCCAUGUACCAAGUUUUUCAGGUUAUAAUCUACCCCUGUCUAAAUAAAAUACAUACUUUUAAUAGCAUUAUAUUAUAAUUAUGAUAAGAAUGAAAUGUUGAAUUGUUUUAAAACUAAACUAUGCGGUUUUGCUAAUUAACUGAGUAUAUGAAAGUCUUAUACAGGUACACUCUGUUGUCUAAAUAAGUAAACUAAAUAGUGGUUUAUUAACGGACUACUACUUAAAAGACAACAAUUUACUGGCCGAUAGUUGGGAUAGAGACCACUAUCAUCAGUGUGAUUAAUUGACAAUUUUCCGCUCAUGUUUUACCUUUCAGCCUAAGUAAUUGCUUACCACUUUAAUCAUUUAAACAUCAAGCUUUCAGGUCAUAGUGGGUUUUAUUGUUUAUGAACCAACCUUUUGAUCGGUAAGCUAUCAACUAAUUAACAUGAAUUUAACUUUGAUUGGUUGGGUCAGGUAUGAUGUCAAAAGGUACAUUUAAAUGAUUAAUUUUGUGUUGUACAUGUUUGUUGAAGAAAAUAGAGACAUUUUUUGGGUUAUCCAUAAACCUUGAACAAGAAACAAUUUUAUUCAAUCCCAAGUUCUAAUUGUUUGAAACACAUCCAUCAAGAAACAAAUGUCGAAAAUCCACCCUGUCUUGUUUAUUGAGUUGCAAGUUUUUGUAGCGGGUCUAUUUGUCACCACUUGCCCGCCAUUGUUUAUCUUAUCCCUUUUUGUUUUUCUGCUUCUCACUAAACAUUGAAAGAUAAAUGUUUCUUAACUAGUUUCUUAUUCAAUAUAAUUGUUUCUUUCACAAGGUCUUCAAUUUUGAUGAGGCGAUUGGGCAAUAUCCUUUGUAGAAAUAAUUCUUUUUUUCUUUAAAUUUUUUUCUUUGGUUGUCUGUCCUUUUCAUAUAAUUAUGAAGUGGGAUAAGCUUGCUGCAUUAUAAUUAUUAUUGGAAACUUUCAUAUGGAUAUUUUUGGAAAAAUGUCUGUUGUUUACCAUAAAUGCCAGUUUAUCCUCUAACGGGCUUUCUAUAACUUGUUCUCUAUGAAAUUAAGGAGAAUCCUAGGGUACUCAUGUGUUCAAGAAUUCAGCAUGUUCACUGUUAUUUAAGUCAGAUUGUUUUAAGGUGACUCGAUGAAAUUAAUAUCAUUGGGUCAAUACUGACUGGGUCAGGUGUUCUCUCUUAAGCACAUACACAAACAUGUUGGACAUGACACCCACUAACAUAAUAUAGGACACUGGGAAACUGCAUGUGCGAAGCAAUUCAGUUGAAAACAUAAGAUGAAUUAAUCUUGAAUAUCUAUCUCUGUAUGGUUAAAACUUGUUUCUUUUUGUUGAAGUGUAGUAUAGCUGUUCCUGUUUGAACAUUUGAAGUGUUAGACUUGUCUCAUAUUACACAUGUUUCUUUAUACUGUUUGACCAAGUGUUUAUGUGGUCUGUUUUCCUUUAAGGAGCUUAGUGUCAAAUCUUAAGCUUUUUCAUUUAUUUAAUCUUUGAGGACCAAUAAUAUUUUGAAACUUUGCAAGCUUAGCAUUUCAUAAAUUGUGUCGAAUAAUCCAUGGAUCCGAGUUUAUUUUGAUACUAUUAUACAAGGAGAUAAGAAUAGAUGUGGCAUUUAUGCGUCAUUUGGUAUUGAUUCAUUAUAAUCUAAUUGAACUAUUUUUGAUUUUGCAGCACUUCUGGUUGCCCAUUUGGUGAGACAUGCCAUUUCUUGCACUAUGUUCCCGGUGGUUUUAAUGCUGUUGCCCAGAUGAUGAAUCUAACACCCGCAGCACCUCCUGCGCCCAGAAAUGUUGCAGCCCCACCACACGCACAUGCACCCAAUGGAUCUGCGCCAUCUGCUGUUAAAAGUCGCAUAUGUAACAGGUUUAACACUGCCGAAGGUUGCAAAUUCGGCGACAAAUGUCAUUUCGCCCAUGGUGAAUGGGAACUUGGAAAGCCUGUAGCUCUAUCAUUUGAUGAUCACCGUCACAUGGGACCCCCCAACGUAGGUCGUAUGGGUGGUCAUCGGAUGGAGCCUCCUCCUGGUCCAACUACCAGCUUUGGUGCCACUGCCACUGCCAAGAUCAGUGUGGAAGCUUCCAUGGCUGGAGCAAUCAUUGGUAAGGGGGGUGUGAACUCAAAACAGAUCUGUCGACAAACUGGAGCCAAGCUUUCGAUUCGAGACCAUGAAUCUGAUCAAAAUCUUAGGAACAUUGAACUUGAGGGAACUUUUGAACAAAUUAAGGACGCAAGUAACAUGGUGAAGGAUUUACUGUUGACCCUGCAAAUGUCUGCACCACCUAAAACAACCCAAGGUCCUCCUGGUGCCCCUGGCCAUCAUCAUGGAAACCAUGGAAGCAACUUUAAGACCAAAUUGUGUGAGAAUUUUACAAAAGGAUCUUGUACUUUUGGAGAAAGAUGUCAUUUUGCACAUGGAGCGUCUGAAAUGCGAAAAUAAAGAUUCCACCUUAAUGAGGCAGUGCAUUAUCUUGUGAGUCAGGAUUAUUCUUAUGAUUAUUAUUGUUGUGCACUACUCAACUUAGGGUACUGACAGGACUUCUGAUGUUGAGAGUUUUGUUGUUUUUGAUUCCUUUAAAUAGCUACAAUAGCUUUACAGUUUCGUUCUCCCUUUAAUAUGAAUCCAUGCUCUCCCUCCUCAGAUUGUUAAUUGUAUUUUUUUAGUAGAGUUUUAUUUUCUCGUGCCCUGCACAGAUCAUAAUUCCUGUCUGUCUCAAUUUGGCCAUGCCAUAAAUUUUGUUCUCUUUCUGUCAGUGUUGAUUUUUAGGAAGUUAAGUUUUUCUUUAUUCAUGGAUUUGUAACUAAAUGAGGUCUGAGAUUGUUUGAAACCGGUAGUGGAAGUAAAAUAUUCAAUCAAGUGCAUGGGUUUAGUCUCUCUUAAUCUGGCAAAUUAAGAUUUAAAUUACACUAACAGAGAGAACUGUUCACAUUAGUGUUUGAUUGUGUUAUUUGAUUAGUUAUCUUGCAAGUUGCAACAAUUUAUCGUUCACCAACUGAUUUGGUUUAGCAAUCACUAUUGUGUUUUGAUUAGUUAUCUUGCAAGUUGCAACAAUUUUUCGUUCACCAAGAUUUGGUUUAGCAAUCACCGACACUGAGCACACAUGCUGCCAUUUUCUGUCUCAAACGGAAAUAUUAUCACGAGCAAAUACUCCACUUAUAACCACCUCUGAACAACAAACUUUGCACUCCAAAUGCUAUCCCAAAUUUACGGGUUGUGACUAAUGUUGACUAGUGAUGGUAAUUUGGUCAGUCUCUACUGGAUACCCACAAAAUACUUAUAAUAGGAGGAUACAAAUUUAUAAAAAUAACAUGGGUUUAACGUAGGAGUAUGAACACCUUAAUUAGCAGUCUCAUCUGUGUAAUAUAUAUUUUAUAUUUUUUAAUUUAUAUUAUAUAAAAAUAAAUGUCUAUUAAAAUUUUAAAAUAUACUAAUUUUUAACUAAUUUAAUUACUAUAAGUGAUUAUUUAUUUUAUAAUUUAAUAAUAUUUUUUUUGAAAACUCUUAAAAUAUUCUUAAAAAUUUAAAAUAAUAUGAUAUUUUAUAUUUGAAAUAAAUUAGAAAUAUGAGUAAUGAAUAUGGGUGUGAACAUUUUCAUACUCAUAGAGUAUAGGUGUCGAUGUUGAUACUCAAGCGAGUAUGGAUUUGAUUAUGAGGUUUUUUGCAACUGCGGAUAUGAGGAUGAAUAUUAUAAUAUUCUAUUUAAACCCGGUCUAUUAUCAUUUCUAAUUGAAAUAAAGAAAAUCACUUCUAGAAAAAUAUAUGACUUUUAGGAGUUGAGUGAUAACGUUACAUGAAUUUGUCAAUAAAGUUUGCGUCUCCAACAUUGCAUAAUUAAAAACAUUAAUGCUCUUAAAGCUCAUGCUCCUGCCCCUACUAUUUUUAUACAACAAGAGUCUACUAAGAAAACCAAUGUACACCGGUAUUCAAUCCUUAAUACAAGAGAGGAAUCAAUCAAUACAAAAUUUAGAAUUUUUUAUUCAAAAAAUCUACUUUUUCAAUUUUUUUAUAAAAUAAUCUAUUUUUCAGAUUAAUUUCCAAACUAUCCCACAUUGAAGAGGUGACGUAAGAAGAAUUGCCGCUUGCUCUCUAAGUUAAAGAUAUGAUAUAAAUUGGAUUGACUUAUACACCUAGUGCUGCUAAUUCAAUUGAUGCUUGUGUGUUUAGUUUUAAAGGAGGCGCCAGUUGCUCUGACACUUAUGUGUUGUGUAAUUUUUUUGAAAAAUAAUGUAUAUUUUAGAUAAAAGUCGAGAUCGGACUAAUUGAUAAUAAUAUUAAUAUGCGUUUACAUACGAUAACCAAAAAGACUAAUGUCGUUGACCGAGAUGACCUAACCGAUCUCCGGUACUGUUUACCGUGAAAAUUGGUAAACAACCGUUGGUCUUCCAAAUUACAGAAACUUUGAUUACUCACAAGAUCGACCAGAUUGAUCCUAGGACAUGUGCUAUUAUUCUAAAAUUGUAUAUAAAAGAUGGACACUUCGACAGUAUCCUUGAGUAAAGAAUGUUUGUUUUAAAGCGUUUUUAAAGAAGAUAAAUGACGAAAAUGUAAGUAAAGUGUAAAACAAUGCUUGAUAAAUGACUGGUAAUAAAGGAUAGAAAGGUGUAAAUAAACUUUGAUUGAUAUAAAUAUAAUGGUGUUAUCAAACGUACAUUCUCAAUUGUACUCGUUUCUCAACACGCUGGAUACUUUGAGUAAAUAUGAUUGAUUGUACAUCAAUUUGAACACCCUAAUCCUAACACCAGAACAUCUAUUUAUACAAAAUUAAAAUAACCAUUGUCAAUGGAUCUUCUCCUAGGCACUGACACGUUACACUCGGCAUGUCUGCGAUUCAGGACAACAUUCCACGCGUCCUUUCUAUCAAAAGUGGAUAAGAAUGAAAUACGGUUAUGCUUCUAUCAUUCGAAUUCAAAUAUACGUCGAACAAACUCUUCCGUCGAAGUGAUAUUUGGAACUUGGGAUUAUUCCUAAGUUUCACAUUCAUCUUCCCUUAUAGAAGGCAGACUUCGAAACUUCCUCACAUCAAUAAUGCUUUGUUUCGAAAUCCUAGAUAAUUCCAAAGAGCAUUCUCUUUCCUUAGUUUAUCACCUCCAACCUGAUGCAUAGUUAUGUAAUUCAUGUCGCUAGCCUGAUCAUAAUCGUACAAAUUGUCUCAGUGAUGGACUAAGCACAACAACAUAAUUUUAAUUGUAACCCUUUUACUUAUAUUAAAACAACAUUCAUUUCAUAAAUAUCAUAAGAUUCCGUUACAAUAACUUGAAAACAACAAUUAAACAAUAGUUUAAACAACAAUUAAACAAUAAUUAAACAACAACACAAACAAUUACAUCAAUAAAAUAACAUCACAAACAAAUACAACAAAUAAACAACAUAACUAUGCGAUUACAACCAUCAAAACAAUUUUGUGAGAAGUAUUACAUCAUCAUGUGAACAUGCGUCCUGACAAGAUUCCUUACAGGAUUCCAUGCAUGCUUUUAUGCCCUAAAAGGAAAACACAUGUGCCCUCCCCAAUGACGCAUGCCCUAAAAAGACAACACAUGUGCCCUCCCCAAUGGCGCGUACUCCAAAAAUCACAUGCAAAAAAAGCAUCACGUGAAUGCAACAUACACUUAACCUACACUCCUCAAUAACAUUUUUCGAUUUUUUUUAAAUAACCAUAAUUUUCAAUUUUUUUUUCCAAAAUAACCAUUUUUUCAAAAUUUCCCCCCAAAUAACCACCUUUUAAAACAGAUGCACCAUAUGCAUUUUGCAUCAUGAAGAGGCGCCAAUGCCUCUGGCGCAUGCAUUGGAAGUCUCAUGAAGAGACGCCAAUGCCUCUAGCCCCUACAUGUCUUGACAUGUCAGACGCCUAGCCCUUUGACGCAUGCAUUUUCUAGUUCGCCAUGUAUGCAAUAUUUUUCACACAAAUCUUACCCUACAACCUUAUUUUCUUUCAUUCAACUUCACUCUCCUUCAAGUUUUUGAGUUUUAACCAUGUCUGAAUAUUCACAAGCGAAAUAUCGAUUUAAUAUUUUCCGUCGUUGCGUCUCCGAUAAAGAUUCGACUUUGGAAUAUAGAUUUGUUUGAACAUCUUAAUCGGACGUUGAACAGUUGGUUAGAUGGAGAAAUUGGGGAUGAUGAAAGGAUUAGAAGAAUCCAAUGGCUUGUGUCCACGUUCAACAAAAAUGGAGAAGUGCGUGAAUGGAUGAAUAUUAAGAAUGACCAAGACGUUCAUAGGAUGAUGCAUUACAUGUUCAAAAUUGUUAUGAUGGUUGUAAUCGCUUAGUUAUUGUAUUGUAGCUAUUUUAAUUGUUUGCGUUGUUGUUUAUGUAAUGAUAUUUCCUCACAAACUUAUAAUAUGAAAUAAGUUUAGUUUUUCAUAUAUUGCAACAGAGGUACAUGUGAACUUAUCUGGUUGUGCUCAUUCCAACACUAGGACAAUUAGUACGAUUGUGACCUGACUGACGGCAUGAACUACAUAAUCUAACCAUUUUGUUCGCCGUACCCAUUUUGGUUCAAAUGCGAGUGCUGUUUGGGCGACCCUUUUUCUUCCUUCGCAUAACAUGGGAGCAGGGCGUACGAAAGACUUGGAAUUUUCUACAGUCGCACCAACCUCUAUCUAGUUCGACUUUGUAUUGUCCCAUCGGCAUGCCCUCAUUGUGAUCCAUGGACUCGGCAACACUAUACCAACCUUUAGUUCUGUCAAACACCGUGACCACAUGUGUAUUUGCUUUGGCAGCUUCAUGUCUAAUGAAUUUCAUUGAAGCAUCACUAAACAACAGCCCAGAUUGCAACACUGGACUCCAUUUGGAACAUCUGGUCUCAACAACCAACCUCACACCAUCAACUUACCACAUACAUCAAACAACCAAACACUCAACUUCGCAACCAUUCAUGCCAUCCACCCAACAACCAAACACCCAACAUCGCAAUCCAUUCAUGCCACCCACCCAACCACAAAACCAAGAAUCAAACUCUACCCACCAACAACCAUACGCUUCAACCACAACCGUCUAUAGCCCAUAUGAUUCAUAUGGGUCACUUCAUCGUAGCCCCCCAUUAAUAACCAUUCAAACAUCCCAUCACCAAAACACACAACCAUUGUUUAACUAUAGUACACCCCAAGAACCAUUGCUUCGUUUCCAAAACGAUUCAAUCUUCCAAUUCGGGAAACUAUACCUUCCAUAAUCCACUCAACCCCAUCGACCUAACUACGAUGACAUGGACACCGAACUCCAUUAAGGAAGCGCCGUUGGCCAGAGCCCCCCAGAUAUUGGAAACAAAUGAUGACACAUCUAUCAAAUACCGCUGGAACUUCCGUCAAACCUUCACACCAACCAUCAUUCGAUCAGGUCAGAAUGCAAAGACCCCAAACACCUCAGGAAAAUCAUGGGAGACCUCGAAGACAAACUAACGCACCUGGAUGUGGAACAGGGGGACGUUCUGAUCGGGCCGGUCAUUAAAUUUUUGUCAAUCCUAUGUAACAUUUAUUAUAUCAUGAAUAAAAAAAAAUAUUACAAUGGUGUAUGCGCCAGAUGAAUUGACGCAUACACCACAUGCCAAAGGCAUGCGUCAUAGGCAUUGGCGUCUCUUCAUGAGGCAUCCAAUGUAUGCACCACUCAAGCUGACGCCUCCUCUUUAGGGGAAAUGGAUGCGCCCGUUCAUCUGACGCAUCUGUUUUGAAAGGUGGUUAUUUUGGAAAAAAAAUUAAAAAAAUUAUUAUUUUGGAUUUUUUUAAAAUUGUGAUUAUUUUUUAAAAAAAUCACAUUUUUCCCAUCUAUAAAUACCGAUGUUUAUCAGCAUUUCCAUGAAACACACUCAACCUACCUACUUUGUCUGCAACAUACACUCAACCUAUCUAUGGGACAAACCAAUCAUACAUGGUGUUAGAUCAACUCAACAUUAUAUGGUUUGGUUUAGGUCGGUUACAACGCCACAGUUUGUGUCUGAACCAAGGUAUUUAAUUGAUCUACGCCAACGAGUUUCGUCAUCCUACGUCCAACAACAAAUUCCCUCCCAACAACCAACUUCACACCAUUACCAAACUCAAGAGCAAUAUUAACCCACUCAAACCCAACGACUAACCUCACACCAUCCUCAUACCAUAUACAUCUAACCACCAAACACGCAACCUCACAACCAAUUCAUGUCACACACCCAAACUCAAAAUCAGGAACCAAACCCUUAUCACCAACAACCAUACGCAACCACCACAUAUGUCUAUAACCUAGAUGAUUCAUACGAUUCGACCUCAUCCCACCAUAGCCUCCCACCAAUGAACACUCAAAUAUCUCAUCGCCACGACACCCAACCAUUGUUUGACUUUCUUACAUCACAUGAACCAUUGCUUUGUUUCCAAAAUGGUUAAAUGUCUCAAUUCAGGCAACCAUACCGUCCACAAACAACUCAACUACAACGAUCCAACUACGACAACAUGGACACCGAACUCAAUUACAACAGCGUCGUUGGCGGCAAUCCACCUAACUAUUUGAGAGAAAGAUGACGAAUUUAUCAAAUACUGCUAGACCUUCCACCAGACCUUUACAUCAGUGUCCAUUGCAUCAUGCUAGCACUCAAAGAUUUCAAACACCUCAAAAAAAUUAUGGGAGAUCUCGAAGACAGGAUAACCAUCUCGAAGACAGGAUAACCCACUGGAAUGUGGAACAGGAGUAUAUUUCGAUCAGGCGAGUCAUUAUUUUUUUUCAAUUGCUAUGUAUUUUAAUUUUAUAUUUAAUAUUAUUAAUUUUUUUUAUUUUAAUUUUAUAUGAUUAUAGUAUAAAAAGUAAAAAAAAAUCAAAAUAUACGCCGUAUGCAAUUAAUAUCAUAAUACAUACACCAAUUGUAUUGAUACAUGUUUACUGAUAUCACAAUACAUACACCAAUUAGAUUGAUAUAAUUGGCAAUUGAUACAUGUUUACUGAUGCAUGUUUUGAAUGAAUAAUUGAAAAAUAAUUAUAUUAAGUAAAUAUUUUAAAAUAGUAGUUAUUUUAAUUUUAUUUUUGAAAACAAAUUACAAUGUUACCUCAUAAAAAAUAAAUUUAAUAAUCCAAAUACAUCAUAGCAUUGUUACAUCAUAAAAAAUAAUAGAUAACUGUUAAAUAAUAUAUUAUAUUUGAAAUAGUAGUUAAUUAUUUAAUUAAUAUAUUAUAUUUCUAUCUGUAUUAGAUAACUUUAAAUAUUUAAAAUAUAUUUUUAAAAAAUUUUAAAACUAAUUUUAGUGUUUGUUAAAGUUCAAAAUAAUCUGAAAUAGCAUAAUAUUUUAGUUUAAAAAGUUUGAUUUCAAUGCAAUGAGAAAACCUAAAUCCUUUCUGCUCUACUUUCACACUAUAAUGGUGUGGGUUUUAAUUAUAUAAUUUCAAUAUUAUUGAAUAGGAAUUGUUUUUUUUAGAAGAAAAAAACAAUAAUUUUGUCCAAGGAUAUUUAUUUAUUCAAAGUGAAAUACAACUUAAUGACACUGAAGGUUCAACUUACAAGUAGGAACAUUCACAACAUCAUUUAAGAAAAGAAAUGAGCCAUCAAUGACUCAAAAAGAAAACAAACAUACUACAACUUAACAACCUUGUUUUAUUUAUCACGAUGAUACAUAAUUACUCAACGGUGAGUACCGCCGGUUCCAUACCCGGUGGCAUUUGGAUUUCCGCCGGUUCCAGUGGUGUGGUUUUGACCCUGCCCCAAGGUGUUCACAGCCGUUGCCGCAGCAUUGUGAUUACGCGCCGCCUGCUUAUCCAGCUCAGCCUGGGCAACCCUUUCCUCCUUCUUCUGUGUUGCCAACUCCUUUUCCAACGGAUCACGCGUCGUCAGCCUCUCAGUCUUCUCUUGGACGUUGGCUUUGGUCUUCUCCAUACCAGAUUUGGCUGCAGCACCAACGUUAGCAGCUGUUUCUUUGGUCUUCUCCAUUUUUAGAAUUCACCUUCUUCAACUAUGAACUCUGAUUUUUAUAAAAACUUGGUUUUCUUUUUAUUAGGAUAUGUGUUGAAGAGUAUGAUGCAUUCUAUCCAUUAUAUAGAUUUAGUUACCACUUUGUUUAGUGCACACGUGUUAGAUUAUAGAACACGUGGUGAGUUGGUGAAGAUCUUUUUACACCUGUAUGCAAGGUGUCUGAACACAAAGUAGAACCAAACAAAUAAUGUGGUAUCGAAAGAUAUACGUCUAUAUUGAAAAUGAUACCACAAAUCUCAAUAACGGUGAGUGAAAUAUAAAUUUCUAAAAUACGAACUUCAAUUUAAACAAUAAUUUAGUUUUUAAGUUUUCAAUAUGCUAAUAUGGCACAAUCUGCAUGAGUUUUUAAAAUUAUAUUUAAGUUAAUGAUGCAAAAAUACACACUUCAGUCUUUUAUAUAUAUAUAUAUAUAUAUUUUAAAGUUUUUAGACAAAUCUAAAGUGUACAUGUGAGACAAAUGGAAACUAAGAAUAUCAAUUUUAUCCAUAUAAAAAAUUUAAGCGAUUCAACUUUGAAGACUAAAAAUAAUGAGAUACAUUAUUGUUACAAAAUUAUGACUCUCAUAGAUCAUGAUUAAGCUUGUACUCUAUAAGUUCUAGUAAUUUAUAAGAUGUUUAAGUUAUUUCAUAUUGUCGCACCUCGAAAAAUGAGAACACGACUUAAGCGAAGCGCAAUCGCACGCUCGCAAUGAUGGACUGAACAGAGUCGCCACCGAACUUUAUUUAUUCCUAAAAAGGAAAGGGGAAAUAUCGAUAAAACACGACUUAAGCGAAGCGCAAUCGCACGCUCGCAAUGAUGGACUGAACAGAGUCGCCACCGAACUUUAUUUAUUCCUAAAAAGGAAAGGGGAAAUAUCGAUAAAACCCAAGAAAUAACGACAAUGAUAUUGGUCAUCGCAACCAAAUCAGGGUUCGGGAGUCGAUUACGCAAGGGGAAGGUAUUAGCACCCCUCACGUCCGUUGUACUCAACGGGAACCAUUAGGUUAAUUGUGUGCAUUAGUGUUAGUUGAAAUGUUAGGCUUUUCAAGUUAUUAGGUGGGAAAGAAAGAAUAGAAGAAAGGAGAAUAUUUUUGGAUUUUUGACGAAGGACUAAACCUAAGUUUUUUAUUAGUGGGUCUGACAAGAUUUACAAAUCCUGCUCCUACGUAUCUCAACAGAGAAAUCAAGGCUUACGUAGUUCUGGGUAGAAAAAAGUUUGUUUGUUGGUCGAUUUUAGCGAAAGCUAUAUUGUAUUAAUCGACGAAAACAUUGUUUUAUCCAAAACAGAUGAGGAACGAACGUACACCACACAUCGAAUGGAUUUACAAAUCAACAUUCGGAAAAACGUCUCUUAUCUCAACUCAACAAUCGUGGCCGAAACAUUGCUUUGCAUCAUCUUAAGACAAGAUGUCUUUCGUUUAUGAAAAAGGUUUUUUUUAUUAAUCGCACGGCGGCGAUAAAAGAGUUUAAUUGGUUGGAUGUAUUUUUGAGUAAUGGCGAGAACUUGAAUGAGAGAGAUAUCCAUCUCGAAUCCUAGACUCAGGAGUGCACGGUAUCCACCAUGUUCCAUUUCCAUCUUUAUUGAAAGAUGUUAAGAUAGGAAUUAAGUAUUUUGAAGUUUGAAAGACAAGUACUUGUGACUUGCAAGCUCUUACAGCUUGGGUCUAAUACUCGGGACAUGCGUCUGGAUAUUUCACCCAGGCAGUCUGUUUCUUUCCAAUUUGUUAAGAAAUGGUUCAAAUAUUUACGAGUGUUUUAGAGGGAAGACGAAUAUUUAUGGCUUGCAAGCUCUUACAGCUUGAGCCUAAUAUUCGGGAUUAUAACUGAAUAUUCCAUCCAGGAUAAUCUUUUUCUUCAAACUUUAUUAAGAAUUAGAGGGAAGACGAAUAUUUAUGGCUUGCAAGCUCUUACAGCUUGAGCCUAAUAUUCGGGAUUAUAACUGAAUAUUCCAUCCAGGAUAAUCUUUUUCUUCAAACUUUAUUAAGAAGAUGGUUUGAGGUAUUUACAAGCAUUUUGGAGGGAAGACGAAUAUUUAUGGCUUACAAGCUCUUACAGCUUGAGCCCCAUAUUCGGGAUUAUAACUGGAUAUUCCAUCCAGGAUAAUCUGUUUCUUCAAAUUUUGUUAAGCAAAAGAUUUGAAUAAUGGAGUGUGGGGAAGAGAAGACGAAUAUUUAUGACUUGCAAGCUCUUACAGCUUGAGCCUAAUAUUCGGGAUUAGAACUGGAUAUUCUAUCCAGAAUAAUCUUUUUCUUCAUAUUUUAUUAAGAAAAUGGUUUGAAAUUAAAUUGAUAUGACCCACGUACGGAAGUUUGGAAUCUAUUUAUUCGAAAAUGAUUGAAACUAGUUUAGAAAUGAUGUGGAUUAAUUUUUGAAAAUAUGGUAAAAAGGGUUUAAAAUUGAAAUUGUUAGUAAGACCGAAUGCAACAUCAGUGAAACUAAAAUGCAAAUAUUUACGUGUAUGAAGUGAAUGCGGAUAGAUAAUAAAACAUCAGUGAAACUAAAAUGCAAAUAUUUACGUGUAUGAAGUGAAUGCGGAUAGAUAAUAUCUAAAUAAAAUACCCAACACAUGAAAAUCGAUCAAACCAAUCGUCAAGUAAUUUACUAAUUAAAUAAAAAUUAAAUGUCUUCAUGUGAACUUCUAACUAAUUAAUUAACUAUAAAAAUAUUUUUUUUAAAAAUGCAUCAAAUGAUGAGGGUUUACUCAUGGAGAUGGGGUGUCAAAUGGAAAAAUAUGGGCCUAAAGCCCAAUCGCAUAAAAAUCCUAAAAUGAAGCAAAUAUAACCUAAAUUAAAUAAGUGAAAAAAAUAAAUAAAAUAAGAAAAUGGAUCUGAUAUGUGGGGUGGGACGGCGCACCAUAUCCAACAUUCAUUUUGAAAUCCAGGUCCAACCUAUCACGAAGGGACACGUGGCCAUGGGAUAAACAUAAAACAAAACCAAACUUUUCUCUUUCAACUACCUCACGUGAAGAAAAACACAUGAACUGGCAGUGAAGCGUUUCGUCUCUUUUCGACAGAAAUUCUUCUCCAAUUUUUCCAGAACUUCUUAUUCCCUCUUUCUUCGUCUUCCAGAACCGCCUUCUUCGUUGAACCACCACAAAUCCCCAAAGCACCAUCGCCGUUACCUUCAACCUUAACAGAAACUCAAUCGAAGAAAGCACAAAGAAAUCGCUACAGGGACCGUCUUGCUGGAGGAAGUUGAUUGUCUGGCAUCUGUGAGAGAGUCGAUGUUGUGAAGGUGAGUUUCAUUUGUCUCAAUCUGCAUGUCGCAUUUCCUCUGUUUGAAGGCGAGGGGAUUAGAGUGGAGUGUGGUACGGUUGGGUUCGGUGGAUUGAAGAAGGGUUUCGGUUCGCUUCCAGAUCUAUCGUAACCUUCAACGAAUCCAUAGACGGAUCUCUCUGUUUGUUAUCGACCGCGUUAACGAGGAUCUCGUCGAAGAUCUUGAAGAGUCCAGGAACAUACGAAACGGCACGGUGAACCAUUUCAUCGUUUUCGUAAACCCAGAGAUUCUGAGUGUGUUUUUUCAAUUGAACCGGCGUAGGUAUCCUGACGGAGGAGAAUGUGUUCGAGUUGUGUUUUCUUUUGGUACAUUUCUUCGAUUGUUUUUCGAAGGAAUGUUAGCGGCGUUGUUGGUUUGGAGAAGGCGUUUUUCAUGGUGGUUGGUGGUGGUUGACACAGAGGUUGUGUUGUCUGAGAUUUUGAUUUUUUUUUAGAGAAAUGAGAGAGAGCCAAAAAUGAGAGAGUGUGUUGAAGUCGGAAGAGAGUAUCUGAAGAGUGUUAUGCUCGAGGGUUGGUGUUUUGGACUGGAACGGUGAUGGAAACACGGAAAUGGAAAAUGCUUUGUCAUUUUCGUGGCCAAUAGCAGUGUGUUUGUUAAUGUUUAUGUUGGACUACACGUGGGGGUAUCCGGUUGUUGGUAGGUGGAGAGUGAAGAGAGAGGGCAUUUGGGUCUGCACCGCUAGGCAUCUGUUGGUUCUCUUCCCCUCUCAUUCACCAGCAUCUUUAGUAUUUAUAGUGUCAAACUAGGGUUAUUAAUUUGAGACAAAUACCAAAAUGCCCCUAUUUUCAAAGUUUUAGAACAAAAUGAGUUUUAAGAACUAAUUAAAAUUAAAUUAAAUUAUUCUAACAAAAAAACUAUAUUAAACUGGAACAAAGACGUAGAAAAUUCUAAUUAAUUGAAUCAAACAUUUUGACAAAGAGAUAAAAAUAAAAUGUCUCAAAAUGGAUAAAGGUCGGGCGCAAAAGUGCUCGAAAAAUUAAAAUGAAUGCACCAAAAUGAUCAUUGCGAAAUAAAUAAAAUGUCUCAAAAUGGAUAAAGGUCGGGCGCAAAAGUGCUCGAAAAAUUAAAAUGAAUGCACCAAAAUGAUCAUUGCGAAAUAAACUUAUUGGAAAAAUACAACGUUUCUUUUAAUUUUGAAAUUUUUUUACCGGUUAAACAGGCUCGAGCUGAUGAAAAGGUGACCAAAAAAUUAGCUGAAAAAUAAAUCGAGCAUACCAGGUUAAACUACGUGAAACAUAGAUUAAUAAAACUGAUGUUUGCAAGCUUGAUUUUGAAACUUUUUCGCCCACCAUUUUGACACACAUUCGAUAAUUGGUUUAACCGGUUUGUCUGUAAAUCUGAAAAUUCAUUUCGACUGACAUUCUAGGCAUUAUGCGGUAUGGAAUGCAUGGUAUGCUAUGCAGAUAUGCAAUAACUAUGAUGAAUGUAUUGAAUCGGUGAUUCAGGGUCAAAAUUAGGAUAUGAUAUGAGAUGAAUGCCUGAAUGAAUGACUCUUUUUUUUUGAUUUGCUAGGGAUAUGAUCAGACAUAAGAUAAACCCUAGCAUGAUGCUUUAUGAUGGAUAAAAAAUGAAACAAAGAUCUGUGGGGAUGCUGAUGGUCCACAGGGAGACAGACAAAUGGUAAAAACCAACUCGCUGGGGAAAACAAUCCUGCUGGAGAAUCAGACACACACUAGAGAGCGCGCAAAGUGAAAUUCGAUGAACGACACUUAGAAUACAAGAGAUUUCGGCAGUAAGUUCACACAUGACUUACUAAACCCGAAUAAGAAAAAUUUCUACAACAGGUUCAUACAUGACCUGAUAACACUGAUGAAAUUCGAUGAACGACACUUAGAAUACAAGAGAUUUCGGCAGUAAGUUCACACAUGACUUACUAAACCCGAAUAAGAAAAAUUUCUACAACAGGUUCAUACAUGACCUGAUAACACUGAAACAAUAAUAGAGAAAGAUUCUUCAAAACAUGUUCAUACAUGACCUGGUAAUACUGGAAUGAAAGCUCGACAGCAGGUUCAUACAUGACCUGACAAUGCUGGGGGAUAUCAAGAAGUUCUGACAACAGGUUCAGACAUGACCUAACAAACUCAGAAAAAUUCAGAAAGAGUACAUCAACAGGUUCAUACAUGACCUGAUGACCAACUUGAACAUUUUGAGAAAGUUUCCACAGCAAGUUCAUACAUGACUUGAUAACAUUGGAACAAAAGGUUCAGCAACAGGUUCAUACAUGACUUGACAACACUGGAAUAAUCAAAAAAAAGAUUAUUCAAAACAGGUUCAGACAUGACCUGGUAAUACUGGAAUAAAGGCUCAACAACAACGAGUUCAUACAUGACCUGACAAUGCUGGAACAUUCAAAGAAUUUUCAACAACAGGUUCAUACAUGACCUGACAACACUUGAUUAUUCAAAGAGCGUUCAAUUAAUAGGUUCAAACAUGACAUGACAAUGUUGGGGGAUAUCAAAAGGUUCCAUAAACAGAUUCAAACAUGACCUGACAAUACUGGAAAACGUACAAAGAAAGUUCCAUCAACAGGCUCAUACAUGACCUGACAUCGUUGGGGCAUACAAAAUAUUUCAAUAACGGGUUCAGACAUGACUGUGAGAAAAUUCUUUAUCUUGAAUUAAUUUUUAAUGAUAGCAAAUUGUGUGAUCAUCAUCCAAAUGUUGGUUGUGCAUUGCAUUACAUGAUACAUGUGUGUUUUAUUAUGUUUCUCAUCCCACUCUAUUGUUACAUAACUGUACAUAUAAACAUACAUUGAUACUUCCCUUUGAAUAAAAAUUAAAAUGCAUUUUAUGUCAGUAAGCAUCGAUACAUAAAGCCUCUGCAUCGAUACAUACAGCAUGUGAUAAAUCACAAACCCUUUCAGUUCAGUAUGCAUCGAUGCAUACGAGUCAUGCAUCAAUACAUGGAAGACAAAAUACUCUAUGCAUCGAUACACACGAUUCCUGCAUCGAUACAUGACUAAGUGAAACAGCCUGUGUAUCAACACAUACGCACCAGGCAUCGAUACAUACUAGUGUAAUAAGCAUUUGCAUCGAUACACACGACUUUUGCAUCGAUACAUGAAUAAUAAAAUUCAUCAAAAUUUACAUUACUUACAGUAUGCAUCGAUACACAUUUGUAUGCAUCAAUACAUAAAACUGUUUUAUGUUAUAACAGCAUCAGUUUUGCAGCAUAUAAAACACAGGUUGUGACANNNNNNNNNNNNNNNNNNNNNNNNNNNNNNNNNNNNNNNNNNNNNNNNNNNNNNNNNNNNNNNNNNNNNNNNNNNNNNNNNNNNNNNNNNNNNNNNNNNNNNNNNNNNNNNNNNNNNNNNNNNNNNNNNNNNNNNNNNNNNNNNNNNNNNNNNNNNNNNNNNNNNNNNNNNNNNNNNNNNNNNNNNNNNNNNNNNNNNNNNNNNNNNNNNNNNNNNNNNNNNNNNNNNNNNNNNNNNNNNNNNNNNNNNNNNNNNNNNNNNNNNNNNNNNNNNNNNNNNNNNNNNNNNNNNNNNNNNNNNNNNNNNNNNNNNNNNNNNNNNNNNNNNNNNNNNNNNNNNNNNNNNNNNNNNNNNNNNNNNNNNNNNNNNNNNNNNNNNNNNNNNNNNNNNNNNNNNNNNNNNNNNNNNNNNNNNNNNNNNNNNNNNNNNNNNNNNNNNNNNNNNNNNNNNNNNNNNNNNNNNNNNNNNNNNNNNNNNNNNNNNNNNNNNNNNNNNNNNNNNNNNNNNNNNNNNNNNNNNNNNNNNNNNNNNNNNNNNNNNNNNNNNNNNNNNNNAAAGAGAGAUGAGCAUUGUAUAGUGAUUUGAAACGGAACCGUUUUCCAAUGGCAAAGCCCAAUACCAAAACCUAUCCCAACAGAAAUUUAAAAAAAUAAUGGAAAAAAAAAAAAACUUUCCCCGGCCCAAUGCCCCCAAAGUUCCCCCUUUUCCCCCCCAAAGUUUAGGCCCCCAAAUAAAAAAAUUUUUUUUUUUUUUUUUUUUCACCCGUUGAAAAUAAAGGCCCGCUCUUUAUCGCCCCCUUUGGCGUUUUCAGAAUCCAUACUGGUUUUAACAAGGCAGCCACAGAGCAACCAGCGAACCGGCGCUCUGAUACCACUUGUUUAGACGGUGGGGUUGGCUAGUGAUCGAAGAGGGGGGUGGAAUAGAUCACCUCUUUAAAAUUAACGGAUUUAAACGUUUUAUCAGAGUUUUCAAAGUUGGCGGAAAAAUCAGUGCCGAAAUCGACUUUCCGUCUAUCUGAACCGGCUACUAGAAAGCCGGACACACAAAGUUUAAUUGCUGGAUUUUAAUGAGAAAAUGACAGAAAACAAUUCACACCAGAAUUUUAACUAAUUAAAUGCACUUAUCAUUAAGUCCUAAUUUUCCAAUGAAAUAAAAUCUAGCUAACCGUUUUAUAUCAAACAGUUGUGUGGUAUGUGAAUCGAUGAUAAACAGCAAUGGAGUUUGAUUUUAAAAGUUUUCUGCCUCGCCUGUCUUGAAAAAGAAACAAAUCACCACACACUAACUGAAAAUUACGAAAACAGUUUGAAAAACGUAAAGAGGAGUAAGGUAAGAGUACGAUACGCAGAGAUUUGGUAAAGGAAGUUCCCCACGUCGUCUCCUCGCGUGUGGGUACGUCUCCCUCUCAAUUUAAAAUGAAAUUGAAACUUUGAUUAUCAAUUAUUGCCGAAUCCGUGAUACAAGGUUUGGUACAAAGACAGAAUUCUAAACUCUAAGAACCUCUUCUUGUAUAAACCUUGGACUUGAUCUGAGCCACGAUCAAGAUUUUCCUGCACAAAUUGCAAAAGCAAUUCACCGGUUCCACGACCUGCUUGCGAAAUCCCCCCGACUCUCCAAAACGCAACGCUGCGGCUGAAUAUGUUCUGCAAAAUGUGACUCCCAAACCUCAAAAACACUCCAGAUCUUGAAGGACAAACCAUAGGUUUUUCCUAGAAACCACGUCCUUCAAUCUUCGACUCACUAGAUCCUGGAUCGUUCCACUGCAAACCACAGCUAGAACCUUGAUCGUACCAACUGAGUCGUUAAUCUCGAUGCUUCUUUAAUCCCAAAGAACAAGAAUGGAUAUGUGUAAAUGUUCUUGAGAAAAGUGAUUGAGAAGAUGAAGAGAAUGAAGUCUCUUCAGGUUUCUAGUUGCUCUCAACAAUUGCUCGCAACACUGCUUUGAUCUGUGUUCAAUUGUUUUCCCUCAAUAAUUCGUGUUUCUUGCACUGCUGUCACAACCUGUGUUUUAAUAUGCUGCAAAACUGAUGCUGUUAUAACAUAAACAAGUUUUAUGUAUUGAUGCAUACAAAUGUGUAUCGAUGCAUACUGUAAGUAAUGUAAAUUUUGAUGAAUUUUUAUUAUUCAUGUAUCGAUGCAAAAAGUCGUGUGGUAUCGAUGCAAAUGCUUAUUACACUAGUAUGUAUCGAUGCCUGAUGCGUAUGUGUUGAUCACAGGCUGUUCACUAGUCAUGUAUCGAUGCAGGAACGUGUGUAUCGAUGCAUAGAGUAUUUUUGUCUUCCAUGUAUUGAUGCCAUGACUCGUAUGCAUCGAUGCAUACUGAACUGAAAGGGUUUGUGAUUAUCACAUGCUGUAUGUAUCGAUGCAGAGGCUUUAUGUAUCGAUGCUUACUGACAUAAAAUGCAUUUUAAUUUUAUUCAAAGGGAAAGUAUCAAUGUAUGUUUAUAUGUACAGUUAUGUAACAUAGAGUGAUAAUAGAUUCAUUCGAAAGAAUGGAGUCAAGCAUUCCGACAAAAAUCUCAUGAAGUUUCGAAGACAAUCCAUAAAUUCGAAACAAGAAGAAAACAAGAAGAGUAGAGGAAGAGGAUCAUGUUUUAACUGUGGUAAAUCCGGACACUAUAAAACAGACUGCCCUAUGAAGUAUAAGGACCAAAGAAAAGAUUCACCAAAAGGGUACAGCAAACAAAGAAGAGCGUAUAUUGCAUGGGAAAGUGAUAGUGAUUCAUCAAGCACACAAAGCUCAAGUGACGGUGAUGAAGCUGCAAAUCUGUGCCUUAUGGCUCACACUAAAAAUCUGUCCUACCACAAGAAGAAAAACAAUGACAAGAAGGUAAAACAAGCCUACUACAAUAAUUUCUCCUCUAUGUCUUUUUCGGAACUAAAAAUAGCUUUUGAAAAACUGCAUAAUGAAGCCGUAGAUGCUUUUAAAAGACUAGCUUCCGACAAACAUAUCUUCUCUUUUUUGGAAGGUAAAGUAAACAAAGCUGAAAUUGAUUUAGAAGCAUUGAAAACUAGUAUUGCAGAAAAUUCAAAAACUAUUGACAUUGACGGAUGUAGUAGAGUUAGGUAUUGUGACGCUUGUUAUAUUUGGCAAAAAGAGGUAAACACUCUUAAGGUCAAAUUAGAGAAAGCGCUACAACCUAAAAUUACUUAUGCCGUUGACCCCAAGUUGUUUAAGAAGUCAUUGAAUCCUCCAUAUGCAAAAUACUCUUUUAUUCUAAAGGAUUCAAUGAACAAGAAACAACAAACACAUCAUCAUGGUUUAUGUCAUUAUUGUUGUCAUGCUGGCCAUACCAUUGAGAAAUGCAAAUUUAGGAGAUUUCUUGUCCCUAAAGGCAUUUAUCAAUGGAAGCCAAAAGGCAACCAUGUUAGCACUUACCCACUUGGACCCAAUGAAAAUUGGGUACCAACUUCUCUCUUUUGAUGUUGUAGGAUGAGUGCCUUGCCUCCGCAGAUAGAAGGUGGUUUCUUGACAGCGGCUGCUCGAGGCACAUGACCGGUGACAUAUCGCUCUUUAUAGACUUCAAGGCAAAGAAGAAGGGAUAUGUCACUUAUGGAGACAACAACAAAGGAGCUAUACUCGGCAAAGGUAGUGUAGGUAAUCCCUCCACCACUACUAUUUCAAAUGUCCAUUUAGUUGAGGGACUUAAACACAAUUUGUUAAGCAUAAGUCAACUAUGCGACAUGGGCUAUAAAGUGUCGUUUACAAAAACUUGCUGCAUAAUUGAACAUGUUGAACAAAACAUUGUGUUUAAGGGUGUAAGAGUAAACAACAUCUAUAUGCUUGACUUGUUUGAUGUACCUUUAACAAAUACUAAAUGUCUAGUCACCUUGAAUGAUGAUUCUUGGCUUUGGCAUAGACGUUUAGCGCAUGUUAACUUCGAUUUGCUAAAUAAGGUUGUAUCUAAGGAUCUAGUAGUCGGUCUACCAAAAAUAAAAUUUUCAAAAGACCACCUAUGUGACGCGUGCCAAAUGGGAAAGCAAACAAGGGUGUCUUUUAAAUCUAAAAAUGUAAUUUCAACUUCACGACCCCUUGAGCUUCUCCAUAUGGACCUCUUUGGACCUUCUAGGACAAAGAGCCUAGGUGGAAAUUACUAUGGCUUUGUAAUAGUUGAUGACUACUCUAGAUUCACUUGGACUAUAUUCCUUCAUAGCAAAGAUGAAACUUUUUCUGCUUUUAAAAAUUUUGCAAAUCUGUCCCAAAACAAAAUGAAUUCCAAAAUAGUUACAAUUCGUAGCGAUCAUGGUGGUGAGUUUCAAAAUUAUCACUUUGAGAAGUUUUGUGACAAGUAUGGUAUUGAGCAUAACUUUUCAGCUCCUCGCACUCCACAACAAAAUGGCGUUGUGGAGCGUAAAAAUCGUGUUUUAGAGGAGUUGGCAAGAACAAUGCUUAAUGAGGGUGGAUUACCAAAAUACUUUUGGGCUGAUGCUGUUAGCACAGCCUGUUAUGUCCUAAACAGAAUCUUAAUUCGCCCUAUUUUGAACAAAACUCCUUAUGAACUUUUGAAAGGAAGAAAACCAAACUUGUCACAUCUUCACGUAUUCGGUUGUAAAUGUUUUGUUUUGAAUAACGGUAAGGAAAACAUUGGGAAGUUUGAUGCAAAAGCGGAUGAAGGUAUUUUUCUUGGUUACUCAAUGUCAAGUAAAGCAUAUAGAGUGUAUAAUAAGCGUUUACUUACUGUUGAAGAGUCGGUUCAUGUUUCUUUUGAUGAGUCUUAUCCGAAAAAUGUCGGAAAAGGUAUUUCUUUUGAUGACGCAGGUGUAUCUACAGAAGACAUACUCAAGGAAGCUGUUGAGGAAACUGAUCAGUCCAAAACAGCUGCCCAUGAGAAGGAGGAAGAUACUAGUCAUGAAGAAAAUGAGGAAGAAAAGACAGCUGAAGUGAAGGAUCUUCCAACAGCUUGGAAAUCCUCAAAAGACCAUCCCAUUGACAACAUCUUGGGAGACAUUUCAAAGGGAGUAAUGACCCGUUCUAAGAUAAGUAACUUUUGUUCUCACUUCGCGUUUGUUUCACAAGUAGAACCUAAAAAUGCCAAAGAGGCCUUGAUUGAUGAAUUUUGGCUAAUGGCCAUGCAAGAAGAGCUUAAUCAAUUUAAAAGAAAUGACGUUUGGGAACUUGUCCCUCGUCCGCGAGAUCAUCAUAUCAUAGGCACUAAGUGGGUUUUUAGAAACAAGCUUGAUGAAAACGGAGUGAUUACUAGGAACAAGGCACGCUUAGUAGCACAAGGGUAUAACCAAGAGGAGGGCAUAGACUAUGAGGAAACUUAUGCUCCAGUUGCUCGCCUUGAAGCUAUACGUCUUUUGCUUGCCUAUGCGUGUUCUAAGGAUUUUAAGCUUUACCAAAUGGACGUAAAGAGUGCCUUUCUUAAUGGUGUCAUAAAUGAAGAAGUAUAUGUUUCACAACCUCCUGGUUUUGAAAAUGCUGAAAAUCCAGAUCAUGUUUACAAAUUAAAACGAGCUUUGUAUGGUCUUAAACAAGCCCCUCGGGUUUGGUAUGAAAGGCUUAGCAAAUUCCUAAUUGAUCAUGGAUAUUCAAGAGGUAAAGUGGACAAUACUCUCUUUAUUAAACACAAAGGGAAGCACAUUCUUUUAGUUCAAGUUUAUGUCGACGAUAUCAUAUUUGGUUCAACUAACAUACACUUGGUCGAAGAAUUUUCUAAGGUUAUGCAGGGUGAAUUUGAGAUGAGUCUAAUGGGGGAGCUGAACUACUUCCUAGGACUGCAAAUAAAGCAACUUGAUGAGGGUACAGCAGUAUGUCAAACAAAAUACUGCAGAGAACUACUCAAGCGCUUUGGAAUGAAUGACUCAAAAUCGAUUGACACCCCAAUGCCUACCAACGGAAAUCUAGACAAGGAUGAGCAUGGUAAGUGUGUAGAUGUCAAAAGGUUCAGAGGUAUGAUUGGAUCUCUCUUGUAUCUUUCUGCUUCUAGACCUGACAUCAUGUUUAGUGUUUGUAUGUGUGCACGCUAUCAAUCAAAUCCUAAGGAAUCGCACCUAAAAGCGGUGAAGCGCAUAUUUAGAUAUCUUCACGGAACACCUAAAUAUGGGCUUUGGUAUUCCAAAGGAAGUGAUUGUAGCUUAGUAGGGUACUCCGAUUCUGAUUUUGCUGGCUGCAAAUCAGAUAGGAAAAGCACAAGUGGUACAUGUCACCUGUUUUCAAACUCCUUGGUCAGUUGGCAUAGCAAAAAGCAAGUUUCUGUGGCUUUGUCAACUGCAGAGGCAGAAUACGUUGCAGCCGGUAGUUGUUGCGCUCAGAUUUUAUGGCUGAAGCAGCAACUACAAGACUUCAACAUUCAACUCAAACGUAUUCCUAUCAAAUGUGACAACACUAGUGCCAUAAACCUUACUAAAAACCCUGUUUUACACUCACGCACUAAACACAUAGAGAUUAGACAUCAUUUCCUUCGUGAUCAUGUUGAAAAAGAAGACGUUGUCUUUGAGCACGUUGAUUCCAAAAAUCAGCUUGCUGAUAUUUUCACUAAACCAUUGGCAACGGAACCUUUCUUCAACAUUCGUCGCGAAUUGGGAAUCUUAGAUCUUUCUCAAUUGAUGUCAUAAGCAUGUUAUCUCUUAAUUAUAUUAUGCCUCACCAUGGUUGAUAAGAGCUGUUUUAGAUGUCAAUUAUCCAUCACAAGAGUUCUCCAACAGAGGUAAUAUCAAUCCUUUCUACAAUUUUCUUAUUGCUAAGUGAUUGUGUAUGUUACAUCAAAUGUUCUUACUCUAGUUGAUAUAAAAUUUGAUUGCAUAUACUCCUGUCCAUAUUGUGUGCACAUUAACAAUCUGACUUCUGAAUCUCUCUUGAGCAUAAUCAUCAUGACAUAGUGCAUAAUGCAUAUUCAUACUGCAUUAAAAUUCAUUAAAAGCUAGUUCAGCAUCAGUAUGCAUCGACACAAACGAAGCAUGCAUCGAUCCAUACAUUCUGAAAUUCAAAUUUUUUAAAAACUGCUUCAGGAUGCAUCGAUGCAUCCAUCGCAUGUAUCGAUACACAUGCCCAUUGUGAAUAUUUGGCAUCGACGCAUGACCAUCUGCAUCGAUACAUACUGAUGCUAUCUGAAUUAAAUGCAUUUCUUUCUCUCUCAUGCAUCGACACAUCAGCCAAUCAUAUCACUUCCUAUCUCAAGACUUCAUAUCAUCUGCCCUCAAAAACCCCAAAACCAGUGGCUAACCCUAAUCCUCCUCAUCUUCACUCUCUCUCUAAAACCCUAAAUCUCACAUCACCAUGCCUCCACGCACUAUUCCAGCCAGAGCCAAAGGAAAAGGAAAGGGAAAGGAAACAGCCGGUACAUCUCAGCAACCACCAGACGUUCCUUCAAAUGCCUUAGAGCUACUUCAUCCUGCUGUUGCUGCUGAAUUUGAGGAAUCCUUCAAGACAAGGUUAGUCAUGAAACCUCACGUCUUUGAUAAAACAGAUGCUAUUCACCUACACCUAAAUGAAGUGGUUGAACUCUUACAUGCACAAAGACUUGGGUCGUUUCUGUCCACAAAGGAUGAUUAUCAUGAGGAUUUCAUUCGGGUCUUUUAUGCUGGCUUACAAACUGGUAGAGGCUAUAUGUUCCGGUGUUCUAUCGGAGUCAGAACAUAUACCUUUGAAGCCUCUGAUUGGGAAACGGUAUUUCAAAUGCCGCCUCCGUCGAUGGCUUUCAAGUGCUGGCAUGACCUGCAUUUUGAUCCUGAAUUUGACAUGAAGGACUUUACUCCAUCUAUCCUAAAGAUAGACAGACCGUUGAGUGAUGAUGAACACGUCACGUCUGGUAUGAUCAAGCAAACUCCGCGUAUUCUUCACUGGAUUAUUACACAUAUUCUGCGUCCAACAAACAGUGGACAUUCGCGGUUGGACAGGCCCAGCAUACAUCUUCUCUACAUUUUGCAAAAUAAGGUGUUCUUAAAUUGGGCUAAUUACUUUGUAAAACGUCUAUUUUUCGUGCGAGACAGCUCCAAGAAUGUGGCUCUAGGUUAUGCCUCUCAAAUAAUGAAAAUUCUUAAGUUUUGGAAAGUUGCAAUACCUAUUGUUCCUCUCCUAUCUCCAUCUGCUGCUCAAGAGUUUGACUCUGCCACUCUAUCGCAUAUGGGAUAUCGGUGGGACAAGGACCGCAAAUGUUUCUAUUUCUUCGAAAGAAAAUCCAAAACCAGAAUUUACAACUUUGACGUGCCCUCGGAACGCAUCCAUGUUGCUGAAGAUCAGCCUGAUGAAGAAAUGCAGGAUGCGGCUGAAACAGAUGCACCACAAGCUGAGGCCAAUGCUGGUUGGGGUGAUUGGGUGCCACGAAGGUGGUCUCCUACCAACUAUGUACCUGAACCUACAGCCCCUCCAUUCUCCGGUGGUACUUCAGCCUCAACACCAAAUGCGGACAUCACUCACAUGCUUCAACAGAUGGAAAUUGUCAACAAAGAACGCCAUGAAGAAGCACGGUACUGGCAUGUUCAACAAUCUGAAUGGCACAACGAGCAUCGGGACUGGCAUGAUGAGCAUACACGGAUGUAUCAGAAUCAACACGCUUGGCACCAAGACUUGGUUAAAUGGCAUCAGGUUUUCUACAACGAAAUGUCCGGCUUUAUGGACGACUGCCGUGAAAAUCCUGGUAUUAUGGACAGCUUUAGAAGCAUUGAAGUUCAGAACCGAUUUAGGCAAUACUCCUUCAUGGGCCAAAAUCCAGACACAAUGCCUCCUCCUCCGCCUCCGCCAAGCUACCGAGAUCCUGACAGACAUGAUGAGGAGUCCUGUGGUGGCCACAAUCCAAAUUAACCAACCAUCUUUUCAUCUCACUGCAUUUCAUUUCAUAUUGCUCAAGUUUUAUUUUGUUGCACAAUAUAUGGUUUAGCUUAUGUAACUCUUAAACUCGUUCGUAUCUUUAAAAUGCUUUUCUAUUUCUGUUUAUCUCUAUUGUUAUUGCCCUUAUUCUUCAUUCUUUGUGAAUGAUUCUUUACUUUGAAGCUUCAUUCUUUGUGAUUGAUAGCCUGUUAUCCAUUUUUUGCCAUGUCCUGCUACACUAUGCUACCUUGAUAAAUCUGUUUCUUCCUCUUUUUGAUGUUGACAAAGGGGGAGAAAAUGCAGAUAUGCACAAACUCAGGGGGAGUAUCACACAUCUUGCCAAGAAUUUGCCAUCAUCAAAAAGGGGGAGUUUGUGAGAGAAUUCUUUACCUUGAAUUAAUUUUUAAUGAUAGCAAAUUGUGUGAUCAUCAUCCAAAUGUUGGUUGUGCAUUACAUUACAUGAUACAUUUGUGUUUUUAUUAUGUUUUCCAUCCCACUCUACUGUUGCAUAACUGUACAUAUAAACCUACAUUGAUACUUCCCUUAAAAUAACAAUUAAAAUGCAUUUUAUGUCAGUAUGCAUCAAUACAUAAGCCUCUGCAUCGAUACAUACAGCAUGUGAUAAAUCACAAAACAUUUCUGUUCAGUAUGCAUCGAUGCAUACGAGUCAUGCAUCAAUACAUGGAAGGCUAAAGACUCUAUGCAUCGAUCCACACGAUCCCUGCAUCGAUACAUGACAAAUUGAAACAGCCUGUGUAUCAAUACAUACGCAUCAGGCAUCGAUACAUACUAGUGAAAUAAUCACAUGCAUCGAUACACACGAAUUAUGCAUCGAUACAUGAUUAAUAAAUUUCACCAAAAAUUCACAUAUCUUACAGUAUGCAUCGAUACACACUCUUAUGCAUCAAUACAUAAAGCUGUUUUAUGUUAUAACAGUAACUGUUUUUGCAGCAUAUAUAAGACAGGUUAUGACAGCAGUAAAAACAACGAAUUCAUUGAGGGAAAACAAUUGAACACAAGAUCAAAAGCAGUGUUGGAGCAAUUGUUUGAGAGCAAUUAGAAACCUGAAAGAGACUUCAUCUUCUUCAUCUUCUCAAUCACUUUUCUUCAAGAACAUUUACACAUAACCAUUCUUGUUCUUUGGAUUAAAGAAGCAUCGAGAUAACGUUCAGUGGUACGAUCAAGGAUCUAGCUGUGGUUUGCAGUGGAACGAUCGAGGAUCUAGCUGAGUUGAAGAUUGAAGGGGGUUUCUAGGAAAAACCUACUGGUUUGUCCUUCAAGAACUGGAGUGUUCUUGAGGGUUUGGGAGUCACGUUUGCAGAACAUAUUCAGCCGCAGCGUUGCGUUUGGAGAUCGGGGGAUUUCGCAAGCAGGUCGUGGAACCGGUGAAUUGUUUGCAAUUUCGUGCAGGAAAAUCUUGAUCGUGCUCAGAUCAAGUGAAGGUUCAUACAAGAAGAGGUUCUUAGAGUUUAGAAUUCUGUCUUUGUAUCAUAACCUUGUAUCAACGGAUUCGGCAAUAAUUGAUAAUCAAAGUUCUCAAUUUCAUUUGAAAUUGAGAGGGAGACGUACCCACACGCGAGGACGACGUGGGGAACUUCCUUACCAAAUCUCUGCGUAUCGUAUUCUUACCUUACUCCUCUUUACGUUUUAAAACUGUUUUCGCAAUUUCAGUUAGUGUGUGGUGAUUGUUCCUGUUGCAAGACAGCAGUGGCAAGAAAACUUUUAAUCAAACUCCAUUGCUGUUUAUCAUCGAUCACAUACACACCAACUGUUUGACAAAACGGUUAGCUAGAUUUUAUUCAUUGGAAAUAGACUUUAAUGAUAAGUGCAUUCAAUUAGUUAAAAUUCUGGUGUGAAUUGUUUCUGUCAUUCUCAUUAAAAUCCAGCAAUUAAACUUGUGUGUCCGGCUUUCUAGUAGCGGUUCAGAAUAGACGGAAGUCGAUUCGGGACUGAUUUUUCCGCCAACUUUGAAAACUCUGAUAAAACGUUAAAUCCGUUAAUUUUAAAGAGGUGAUCUAUUCACCCCCCUCUCGAUCACUAGCCACACCGUCUAACAAUGACCUGUCAACACUUGGGAAAAAUCAAAGGGAGUUUUGUCAACAGGUUCAUACAUGACCUGAUGACACUGGAAAAUUCAAAGAAAGUAUAUCCACAGGUUCAUGCAUGACCUGACAAUUCUGGAAGUUUCAAAGAUAUUUUAUUAACUGGUUCAUAUGUGACCUGACAAUACUGGAAAAACCCAAAGAAAACUUCAACAACAGAUUCAUACAUGACCUGCCAAUAUUGGAAAACAUACAAAGCAAGUUUCAUUAACAGGUUCAUACAUGACCUGACACUUUAGAAUACAUCUGACAAUUCUGGAGAUUUCUCACAAGAAAUUCAUCCAAUCAAAGAUUUUGGAGAAUCCUAAAAGGGAAUUUAUGCAAAACAAAGAUAAACGGGAGUCUUCUUAUAAGUAGACCAUCCACGCAAAAAGGCUACGAUGAUUCUUUACAAAGACAUCAAACAAAAUCAACAUCAUUGGAGUUUUCUAACACAAAAACCUCCAAACUUCUGGGAAUUCCUCAAGAUGAUGAGUCAUACAUGACUUUCACGGAACCAUCAGGAAAGACAGGGUAAUUAAACUCUCUGUACGUGCCAAACAAACAAUUGGACUUUUAACCGUAAGUAAUGGAUUACAACCAUCUUUUAACGGAUAGGUGCCAACAACAAUUGGACUUUGACUGUAAGCAAUGGAUUACAACCAACUUUUAACAGAUUGGUGCCAACAACAAUUGGACUUUGACUGUAAGCAAUGGAUUACAACCAGCUUUUAACAGAUUUUGCCAACAAGAAUUGGACUUGAAAUGAUGGUGACAACCAAAAUUCAGAUACCAAUUACAAUUGUAUUUAUAAACAGAGUGACAAUGAUGCCAACGACAAUUGGGUUUAAAAAUGAGUUCUAGUGACCACUGAGCUUGGAAUAAUGCCUAGUAACACCUGAAUUUUAGGAGACACCAACGAGUCUUAAAAUAAUUCCAGGGAGUGGCAUAUGGGUUCUGGAAGUGCGUCAGAACAAAAAUGACAUGUCCGAGAAUUCAUCGGAGAGUAAAAGAAACAAAUUUUGGAAAUGCAUCAGAAUUAUAAGUGAUAUUCCGAAAAUACAAUAGAAUACAGACACAUCCGGUAAUACAUCAAGGAAAUUAUGGAAAUACAUCAGAAUACAGACACACUUGUUUUAGUCUUUUAAUUCAAUAUUUUUUAAUCUUCCUUUAAAAACACUAAUUUUUUAGUCUUUUAAUUCAAUAUUUUUUAUUGGAAUUUUCAAAUUAGGAUGGCAUAAACAAAAAUGUGUUGCCAUAUAGUCUUGAACCUGCUAUAUAGUCUUGAACCUGCCACACUUGUGGGUUGCCUCCCACGCAGCGCUUCGUUUAACGGCGGUAGCUCGACUCAGUUAAUUUAGGCCUCUAAGGAGGAGACAGAAGCAUGACACUUCCUUAGUCAAGGACUGGGUUAGAAGGGUGAUAAUGCUUCAGCCUCUACCCGUUUGCAACAAACUUUCAUGUGGAUUCACUCCAUACUUUUACAACACCAUACUCGCUUACUCUUGUUACCUCAAACGGUCCAGACCAUCAAGAACGUAACUUUCCGGGGAAUAGCUUAAGUCUGGAGUUAAACAGUAACACCCACUCACCCUAGUUAAACACUCUUAUAGAUAUUUGUUGGUCAUGCCAUAUUUUCGAUCUUUUUUUGUAGAACAAAUCAUUUUCAUAGGCAUCUAGUCAUAACUCCUCAAGAUGGUGUAAAUCGAACAUUCUUCUACCCCCAACAGUUGUAUGAUCCAUAUUAAGGGCCUUAAUGACCCAAUAUUCUUUAUGUUCUAACUCUACUGGGAGAUGACAUGAUUUUUCAUAGACGAGCUUAAAGGGAGUUGUUCCUAUGGGGGUCUUAUAGGUUGUCCUAUAGGUCUAGAGUGUGUCGCUCAGCUUAGUCGGCCAAUCCUUCCUUGAAGUGGAAACUGUUUUCUCUAGAACUCUUUUAAUCCCACGGUUUUAGAUUUCCACAUGUCCGCUUGUCUGCGGAUGGUAAAGGGUUGUUACACGAUGUUUAACUCCAUACUUAAGUAAGAGAUUUUCAAAACAUUUUUAAAUAAAGUGUGAUCCACCAUCACUAAUGACUAAUUUGGAUGUUCGAAACCUCGAUAUUACAUUUUUAAACAUUUUGGUUACUACAUUGGUAUAGUUGGUUGGGGAGGCAAUGACCUCGAUCGAUUUUGACACCUAGUCCACAUCAAUGAGUAUAUACUUAUUUUCAUUUGAGGAUGGAAAAGGUCCCACUCAGCCUAUACCCCAAACAUCAAAAAGUUCAACUUCCAUUAUAGGCAUUUGAGGUAUCUCAUCCCUACGUGAAAUGGUUCUAAUGUGCUGGGACCGAUCACAUUCAGUGGUAAAUAGGUGUACGUCUUUAAAGAUAGUAGGCUAAUAAAGGCCAUAUUGAAGGACCUUGGCGGCGGUCUUAGAGAUGAUCUUAUGUCCUCCAUAGGGUGAUGAGUGACAAUGGGUUAUGACACUCUUUAUUUCUUUGUCAGGUACAUAUCGGCGAAAGAUACUGUUGAUACCUCUUUUGAAUAAUAGAGUGUCAUCCCAAUAGUAAUGCUUAAUAUCAGGAAAGAAUCGUUUCAUUGGUUGGUAGGUAUACUCGGGAGGUAAAACAAUGACAACAAGGUAGUUGAUGUAAUCAGCGUACCAAGGCACCGACGAUUUUAUUACGGAGACUUCCUCAGGUGUUUUCCUAAAACCAGAGUCGUCUAGAUCAAGAAAAUCGAUUAUGUGGGAGAAACUAGGGAUCUCAACUCUGAUAAGGGAUACUAGUCUGUCAUAAGGAAAGUAACCAUUGAUAAGAACAUCUUCAUCAUUUUCUGAACCAGUUAAUCGUGAUAGGUGAUCUGCUACUACAUUUUUCGUUCCUUUCUUAUCUCGAUUUCAUGUCAAAUUCUUGCAGUAGUAGGAUCCACCAAAUCAGUCUUGGAUUUGCAUAUUUUUUGUUAGUAGAUAUCGAAGAGCAGCGUGAUCGGUGUAAACGAUAAUUUUAAUCCCACAAAGUAAAAGCGAAAUUUAUCAACAAUAAAUACAAUUUCCAGAAGUUCCUAAAAUAGAUAACAUGCAACUUUUUAUCUUUACACUGUCCUAAAAUAGCCCCUACUGCGUAAUCAGACGUGUCACACAUAAUCUCAAAGGGCUCAUUCCAAUACGGUGGUUGCAUGAUGGGUGUAGAGAUCAGUGUGCUCUUUAAUAAUUGAAAAGCCUAAAGACAUCGAUCAUCGAAAAUAAAUUUUGUGUCCUUCAUCAACAAAUCAGUUAGGGGUUUGAUUAUCUUCGAGAAGUCCUUUAUGAAUCACUAGUAGAAACCAUCGUGUCCUAGAAAGCUCCGGACCUCUCUUACAGUCUUAGGAGGUUGCAAAUUUUCUAUUACCUCAACUUUUGCUCUGUCAACCUCUAUACCUCUAGCAGAAACUGAGUGUCCGAGAACAAUGCCUUCUUUAACCAUGAAGUGACACUUCUCCCAGUUCAAUAUGAAGUUUACCUUGACACAUAUUUGUAGAACCUUUUCUAGAUUUACUAAACAAUUAUCGAAGCUCGACCCAUACAUAGAGAAAUCGUCCAUGAAGACUUCCAUUAUAUCCUUAGUAAAAUUAGCAAAGAUUGCCAUCAUGCAUCGUUAAAAAGUAGCAAGGGCAUUGCAUAGCCUGAAUGGCAUCCGCCUGUAAGCGAAAGUACCAUAGGGGCACGUAAAGGUAUUCUUUUCUUGAUCAUUAGGGUAUAUCGGGAUCUGGAAAAAUCCCGAGUAUCUAUCCAGGUAACAAAAAUGUGAAUGGCUAGCUAUGCGCUCUAGCAUAUGGCCGAUUAAAGAAAAGGGGAAGUGAUCUUUCCUUAUGGCUUUGUUCAAUUUCCUAUAAUCGAUACACAUCCUUCAUCCAAUCACUGUGCGUGUCGCUAACGAAUUGCUCUCUCAUUUUUAAUAAUGGGCAUACCACCUUUCUUUGGUACUACAUGUACUGAGCUUACCCAUUUGUUGUCUGAGGUUGGAUAUAUAAUUCAUGCAUCAAGAAGUUUCAUAACUUCCAUCUUACCUACUUCACUCAUGUUGGGGUUCAACCGUCUUUGGUUCUCUCGAGAGGUUCUAGAAUCCUCUUCUAGCAUUAUCUGGUGCAUGCACACAAAUGGGGGUAUUCCUUUAAGGUAUCUCAUGGUGUACCUUAUAACUUCGAGAUAUCUCUUUAGUACAACAAGUAGUUUAUUAAUUUCUUCUUUAUCAAGGAUGACAUUGACUAUAACAGGGUGAUUCAGUUCAGCGUAUAAGAAUUCAUAUCUAAGGGUUUUUGGUAGCUCCGAAAGUUCUACUUUAGGGUGUUUUGUGUCGGGUAUCGAAUUGGGAGUCAAGGUGAGGCAUUCGUCUAAACCUUCAACAUUAAUAAUUCAACCUCUGCCUUUUCUAUGUCCAAAGUCGAAGGUGCAACUGGAUAUUCAGCGGGUGGCGCUUCAACCAAUAACUUUAUUUUCUCCUUGCCGACUUCAAAGGUUAGUUUUCCUUGUUUCACAUCUAUGAUCGCACCGAAAAUGGCUAGAAAGGGUCUUCCUAAUAUGAUGGGGAUGUUUGAGUCUUUCUUUAUGUCCGUCACUGUAAAGUCUGUAGGAAUAUAAAACUAGACAAUACACACUAGAAUGUUUUCCAGCAUACCUACAUGGUACUUAACAGAACGAUCAACUAGCUGGAGGGACAUCCUUGUAGUUCUUAUGUCUCCUAAUUUUAGCCUCUCAUAAAUUGGUAGGGACAUCAAGCUAACGCUAGCUCCCAUAUCACAAAGGGAUUUGUCGAUGACAAAUUUUCCAAUUACAUAGGGAAUGGAAAACUACCUGGGUCUUUCAACUUAGGUGGCAUAUUAUUUUGAAUAAUGGCGAUGCAUUAUGCAGUGAGCGCCACCAUCUCGUCAUCUUCAAUUUUUCUUUUGUUUGAUAGGCUCUCUUUGAGGAACUUGGCAUAAGAGGACAUUUGUGUAAUUGCCUCUGUAAAAGGGACAGUAAUGUGGAGUUUCUUUAAGAGCUCGACGAACUUCUUAAAUUGAUCCUCGUUCUUAGAUUUGACAGGUCUUUAAGGGUAUGGUAUACGUGGCUUAUAAGGUGUUAGAGGUACAUAUGGCUUUUCUUUCUUGACAGUCUCUUUUGUUAUGGUCGAUUGCUCACUGUUAGAUCUUGGUUCUCCUAUUUGUAUCUUUUCAAUCGCUUUCUCCGGUUCCUUCUCAACUCUCUUAUACAUCGUCUGGUCUAUAACUCUAGGAUCAACGAGUGAAUUCAAUUUCAUCACACUUUGUAGUGUGGUGGCAUUAGCAUGGCCCUUUGGAUUGGGUUGUGGUUGGCCUAGAAAUGUGCCAGCAGGAGUAGCAGGAGCAACUUGUUAUUGAGCUACUUUAAUAAUUGGGUCUCAAGCAUCUUCUUGUGGGUAGCCAUGGUGUCAAUCUUAUUUUCCAAUUGUUUAAUCUGAUCAUUUGUGUGAACGUUUUGGUUCAGAAAUUCCAUUUUUUAUUGGGAUUGAGAUAGGACAAAAUUAUCCACUAUCAGCUCCAAGUUGGAAUUUUUAGGUGCGGAAGGAGCAACAAAGGCUCCUUUUUGGAAACCUGGAGGUGUGGUUGGCGGUGGACUAGGAGCAAAUAAUGUAUUGUUGUUCUUGUAGGAAAAAUUUAGAUGAUUUAUCCAUCUAGGGUUGUAAGUGUUUGAGUAAGGAUUUCCUUGUGCAUAGUUUACUUGGUUAGGGGAAGUUCCUGCCACUAGCUGAUAGUCUGUAGCGGCAUGCCCUUGGACUCUAUAAAUUUCACAAUUAGGACUCACAUCAUCUACGGUAGUUGUCGGUGUAAUGGUUAGAUUGUCAUUUUUUGUGUGUAAGUUCAUCGACCUUAGCACUUACAUGGUCUAGGCUAUUGACUUCGUACAUGCCUCCCUUAGGUUGGGAUCUCUCUAUAGAAGCACGCUCACUUCCCUACUGAUAGUGGUUUUGGGCCUUUUUUAUGAGUUGAUGGGAUUCCUGGAAGGGUUUGUUCAUUAGAGCGCCGCCAGCUACGACGUUGAAGCUACACGAAUUAUACCCGACGCAUCACACGCUCAAAGAUACAACAGAGUCGCCAUCGAACUUUAUUUAUUCCCGAAGGAAAGGGAAAACAUCCAUAAAACCCGGGGCAAAGAGAAAUGGGUAAGGAAGUCAGUUAUGCAAGGGGAAGGUAUUGGCAUCCCUUAUCCAUGGUACUCCAUGGAAACCGUUUUGGAUGUUCUUUUGUAAGAAUAGGUAUUAUUAUCUGAAGAUUACUCGCGAAAGGGGAAACGGGGGUUAAUAAAUAGAUGUGAAAAAAGGUAAGAAAUAGAUAAGUGUGAGAAAAUGAGAGGAAUAAUAAUUGUGCUCGCCAAGGAUUUGAACCAUCGUGCCUACGUAUCCUCAUUCGUGCAAUGAGGAAAUCAGAGCUCCGUAGUUCGUGGAACUAGGACGAAUACAUUAGUUGUUUUUAGUGAACAAUAUUAACAUUUGUGUUUUACCAUCGACUGGCUUGUAUGCUCGAGCAUGUGAGCUUUAAGCGUCUGUCUGUUUGUGGUAGAAUGGAUGAACUCGGAUCACACUCUAGCAGUUAAACGUUGCUUGCUCGCACAUGCAGGCUUAAGCAUCAUUCACGGUAGAACGGAAGUAACAUGUCAUUUCUUAAAAGGUUUUAAACUAAAAUGAGGCCCAAAGGCAAAAUUGAAUUUGAUGGGGUGAGUUUGCUUUUAUUCUGAAAAGAGAGUCAUGAUUUGAAUCGUACUAAAGUCUAUGAAUGAAGAUGAAUACAGUGAGCAACUGGGUCAUUCGUCCCGCACCCAAAGAUAUUCAGAAUGAGGAUAGGAGUUCUCCACUCCCACCCUUUCUCCAUUGCUUAAGACUCGUAUUGUACAAUUCUAGUCGUAUGGUUAAUUGUUUUUGAAUUUAUUCACAAAAUGAUUUUAGUUUUACUGGGAGAGCAAAAGGGAUAGAAAAGAAACCCUAGGAGGUUGAGGUUUGAUCUUCAUUUUGUUCUUCAUGUCUGUGUAGAAAGACUUAUCAACUAUUCAAUUUAAAUUGCACUAAAGUCUAUGAAUAGAGGAGAAUACAGUGAGCAACUAGGCCAUUUGUCCCGUACCCAAAGAUAUUCAGAAUGAGGAUAGAAAUUCUCCACUCUCACCUCUUCUCUAUUACUCAAGGCUCGUGACGUGCAAUUUGCAUCAUAACCGAUGAGUGUUGAAGUUGAAUUCCCUUGCAGCUUCCUGUGAUGAAGGAUUGUCUUUGAAGAAAGAAGAGACUUGACAAUCAACUUGAAUCAAAUUGUGCUAAAGUCUACAAAUAGAGGUGAAUACAGUGAACAACUAGGUCAUUCGUCCCGUACCUAAAGAUAUUCAAAAUGAGGAUAGAAAUUAUCCACCGUCAUCCCUUCUCUAUUGCUUAAGACUCAUGACACACAAUUUGACUCAUUGAAUUUGACCUUUAUAGUGUUUGAGUAGUAAUCCAGUCUGUCUUAUACUGAUUUGAAUUCUUGAACUUGUGUUUUAAUCUUGAUUAAAGUCUUGAGAUCCAGUAUCCAGUACAACUCUUGAACACAAAGACUUGUCCUAUCAAAUGAUAAAGGGUCUUUUGAUCACUUGAACAGGCUUGGGAAAUUAAGCACAGUCAAAGGAUUUAGUUGAUCAAAGCGUACUUUGACCAACUUAAUCAGUUGGGAAAAAGUUAGUUGAAAGUGAAUAUACAACAACCUACUUUAUUGCAAAUUCUGAAUCCUCGAGACUAUCUUAUCGGUUUUAUUUUGCAAGUCUAUGUAACAAUUCAACAACAAAAAUAUCAAAAGUUCAAUCAUAGACUUUGUGGAGGCAAUAUAUGAGCUACCAAACAAUAUUUUAGGCUUUUCUAGUAUUCAUGAGCAAGGCUAUAGAAACAAACCCAGGUGUUGUUCUGUUGUAUACUAGGUGUAAAAUCUUCAGUCCAUAGUAAAAGUUAACAAACUUGAAGAGAUUUCAAAAAUCCGAAGCUUUGACUCGCACACAUCUUCUAGAGACAAAAAAAAAAAAGUGAAUUCAAAGAAUCCUUUUUCCAAGGAGAUGACACCCCACUUUCCUGAGCAAAUGUUUUGGGUGUAUUUGAUGUUUCAGAAUGUUUAUUGGUUUGGAUUGUUUUUGGUUUCGAAACUAGAAAAGUCCAAGAAAUAUGAAAUGGUUCCAUAGUAGAACUGGAAAAAGAACAACAUUUGAGAAGAAGAUGAACAAUUAUGAACACUGUUAAAUUUUCCAAAAUGAUGAAUUAAAUAAUAUAAUCGGUCAAAAGAUAUUAUUUAUUUAUAUUUUUAUUGAUGUAUAUUUUUUUAAUAUUUAUAAAUCAAUCCAAAUUUUAAUUAUAUAAUACAAUAUUAUUUAAUUAAAAUUGUUUUUAAGAAGAAGAAAAAAACAAGAAUAUUAUUCAAAAAAUAUUUAUUUAAUUAAAGUAAAAUACAACUGAAUGACACAGAACGUUCCACUUAGAUUAUGAAAAAAAAGAAUAUAGAACGUUCCACUUAGAAGUAAGAACUUCACAAUAUCUUUUAAGAAAGAUGAUUUAAGAAAAGAAAAAGAAACGAGCCAUCAGUGACUCAAAAAGAAAACAAACAUAAACUUAACAAGCUUCUUUUAUUUAUCACCAUGAUACAUAAUUACUCAACGGUGAGUACCCCCAGUUCCAUACCCGGUGGCAUUUGGAUUUCCGCCGGUUCCAGUGGUGUGGUGUCGACCCUGCCCCAAGGUGUUCCCAGCCGAGGCCGCAGCAUUGUGAUUACGCGCCGCCUGCUUAUCCAGCUCAGCCUGGGCAACCCUUUCAUCUUUCUUCUGUGUUGCCAACUCCUUCUCCAAGGGAUUAUGUGCCGUCAUCUUCUCAGUUUUCUCCUGGACGUUAGCCUUGGUCUUCUCCAAACCAGACUUGGCUGAAGCACCAAUGUUAGCAGCUGUUUCUUUGGUCUUCUCCAUUUUU